rnacentral:lncRNA from 1 species
AGCAUACCACUGGCAAAGUUAUACUCAAUUCUUCUUAAGAAACUCAAUGACAUAGGUGUUGAAAGCGGAGCGGAUGACUCGGAAGCCUUGGUAUCCAGAUCCCUUAGCCAAGGCCUCAAACUACUUUUCCGUCCUCUCUUUUCCGCCGGGGUUGUGAGCUAACAAGAUCACGUCGAUAUGGACAACUCCCUUGAUGGCAAGGCUGCUGUCCGGAGCUACUGGAAGAAAGCACAUUCAGCAAGAAUCACCUUCCCAUUGUCGGGUAGCGCGGUAUAGCAGUUCUUCAAAAUUUCAAAUAAUACUCGUCACUCCAUUCAUGACAAAUCCACUGUGAGAUUGCAUAGGCAAUUUGAUAGUAGUUCCAAAUAUAUUAAGAAACUAAGCUUAAGUGUUGAGAAUGAGUCACACAUUAAUAGGAGGAGGGAUCUUACACGGGUUUAUAAGGGGUUGGGCUACUUCCUAUAUUGUCAAUUGGUUUUAUGGUAGAACCUCAACUUUUUUCAUGUUAUUAGAGCAUGUUGUCCCACUGUUGAAGCCUAAUAGCCACACGCGGCCCACGUCACGCCGAUGUGUUGUCCACGUGUUAAACUUGAAAAUUCGCCACACGUGAGAGAGCGUGUUGAGAAUGAGUCUCACAUUAAUGGGAGGAGGGACAUGCAGCCCACGUCACGCCAAUGUGUUGUUCACGUGUUAGACUUGAAAAUUCGACAUAUGUGAGGGGCGUGUUGAGAAUAAGUCUCACAUUAAUGGGAGGAGAGACAUGACACAAACUUAUAAGAGUUUAGACUACUCCCUAUAUUCCCAAUUGAUAUUAUGGUGGAACCUCAACUUUCUUCGAUAAGAAAUUGAUAUUACUACAAAAUAGUCAUCGACUCUCUUUUUGAUAAAUAAUAACUCACCUUCAUGAAAAUUGCAUCUCCCUUUGGAACACUUACAAACAUGUCUCCUCCAACAUGCUCUUCACCUAUAUCAAACAUCCAUAGAUCUCAUAUUCAUCAGGAAAAAGGAUAAAUAGUACAAACAUAAGCAAUAUUAGAUGAGGAGAAAUCAAACUUGAGAAAGAUCGAGGUAAAGGUGAAUGUUUUUUAAGUAAUUGUACUUCAAACAUUAUCAGAAUUGAAGAACAUACCAGAAUAUUGGGGAACAUCUUCUAUGAUAUGAGGCAAGUCGAAAUUAAUACCCUUAAUCGAGGGGUACUUAGAAAUGAUCAUGUUAACGACAGCGCGGGUGCCACCGCCAACAUCAACAAUGGAUGUGAGGCCCUCAAAGCCUUUGGAGAUCUCAAAAGUUUCUUCAUGGUAAGGGUAGAGUGGUCGGCCAUUCCCCGGUUGAAGGCCUUGUUGAAUCUAGGGUCAGUACCAUGGUACUCGAAAGCAGUCAUUCCAUAGGAUAGGCCUUGUUGAAUAGAAUUCCUCCUUCAAGAACUGCAUCUUUCGAGUGGUACAUGCACAAAACCAAAACAAGCAUACAUGUCAGUCUCACAACCAAAGCAUACACUAUGUGUAAAAUGAUGAACGACACGUCCUUUGAACAGUCAUAUGGUCAUGGCUCAUAUGUGACCCGCUUAACUCACAAGCAUCAAAUGCUAUGGAAAGGGAUUCCUUCCUCCUAAUCCACUAAAUUAGGGAAUUUGUGUCGUUGAAAAUUGAUCCAACGGUUGAAGUUAUUAUAACUUUUAAAGUGAACCCCUAUUUGUAGCCGUUUGAUCAAUUUUUAACGGCACAGAUUUUCUGAUUUGAUGGAUUAGGAGGAAGAGAUCCGGAGAUGAUCCCUUUCCAAAUGUUAUGGGCUUGUUAAAAUAAUUAUUUUAUUAAUGUGAAUUAUGUCAUUUAGCAAAGUAGUUUCCUCUCUUACACUACAAUUUCAUUUUAGGCGUUUUUAUGAAAAUGAUGGAGGAAGGGAUUUAAAUUUCGCCUCUAGAAAAUUUACCUAACUCAUAUCAGCACCUUAUGGAAGAAUAGAAUAGUUAAAACAUAGAGGUAAAGUUCCUAAAAGCAUUAAACGCUAAUCAGGCGAGUGUCUGGGUGAGUUAGACGAGUGCAUUGACAGGUCGAAAUGCAAUUUCUUAAUUUCCAAACUCUUUGAGAUUAAUUGAGGAUGAUGACUAACCGCUUAGCGCCAAGUCGCAUACGAGGCAAUGAGAAUUUUUAGAACAUUCGAAAAAUAUUAUAAGAAAGAAACUUUUUCACAGUGAAACAAUGGUGUUCUUGGUGAAGGGGUACCAGCUUUCCACUCAUUUUGCUUAUGUGGCAAUCCUAAAAUAGGUGAGCAGUCAUCACCAAUCCAUUGUUACCUCCUGACUAGGCCUAUCGGGCCGUUCAAUUUUUAUCCAACGACUACAAACAGUGGGUUCUUCUAAAAGUUAUAAUAAUUAUAACCGUUGGAUAAAAAUUGAACGGCCUGAUGGGCCUAGUCAGGAGGAUCCUCUCCAUCUGCUCAGGAGAGGAUCCUGAUCCAUUGUUACGUAUCUUGUUCGAGUACGACGCAUAUGUCGUCUACUUAUUAUCCUCCCUGAAGAUCAAAGAAAGAAAUAUAUGUCGACUGUUUAUAUCCCAAUCACUCUAAAUAGUCAAAAAGUUAUGCAUCGUCCUCUCGAGUCUUCUGCCUUCCGUUAAAACUGAACUAAUCAUACUGCAAAGUAUUUUAGCUCAAUCACCUUAAAAUGACGAUAACAUUCACCACUUUAUUACCAUUAAAUUUCUAAAUCUGUUUAAUCAUAAAUAUAAAUCUCAAAAUUUAAACACAAACACACCCACUCAAAUUAAACAGCUUAACCGAAGAAUCAUUCAGAACUCUUAAAACUCGGAUAAAAAUGAUCAAUUUCCAAUCAUGUCCGUCCCCACGACCAAAUUGGCCAAAAGUAAUGUGAACAAAAAAGACCAUGUUAGUAAAGGAUAAUGCUAGGUAAAUUAAUUUUUGGGUAAUGCUAAAAAGACUAAAUAUUCAAAUUAAAUUUAGUAAAUUAAAUGACAUAGAAGUUGAUAAUUGGAUUAUCAGUUAAGUGUUAAUUAACGUGCGGGUAAUGUUAGGAAGACUAAAUUUGUAAAAAAGAUUUACAAACUAAAUGAUGUAUCACUAAUAGGAAUGAGCACAUUUACCAACACUUGAGUAAUUUAGUUUACAAAACUUUGUCUAAAAAUUUAGUCUCCCUAACAUUACCUUUAACGUGUUUGUUUUUUAUUAGUAACACAUCAUUUAGUUUACAAAUUUAGUCUAUCUAGUAUUACUCUUAAUUUUUAGACUAAUUUUUUAAAGCAAUAUGAACAAAUUUAAUGAUAACUUACAAAUCCAAACUUUCUUAUCAAAAAGUGCAGUUUUGCUUCGAGAGAUAUUUGUUGAUUUUUCUCUCGAAUUUGUAUGGAGCUGUCAAUUUCUUUAUAAACUAAAUUUAGCCAAUUACUCCCCCUAAACUUUUAUAAUUGACCAAUUUUUCCCUUGAACUUUAAUUUUAUAAUUGCAAAAAAAAUAUUGUUAUCCCUAAUGUAGACAACAUAAUUGUUUUUCUUCUUCUUCUUCUCUUCCGCUAGUUCACUCCGCACACUUUUUGUUUGAAUUUUAAAAUUUAGGGGAAAAUUUUCAAUUAUAAAAGUUCGGGGGGUAAUCGGCUAAAGUUAAACUUAGGGGGUAAAUUGGCCAAUUCUAAAAAUUUAAGGAAGUAAUCGGCAAUAAAAAAUUGACAGCUCUUUACAAAUUCAAGAAGAAGAUCAACCAACGCCUCUUUAUUCAAUACAUGUCGUACUCAAUGGGUUAUAAUUAACGUGAAAGCAUUUCAUAUCAUUCGACUAUGAUAUAUUGUUCGGUUGGAUUUGGAGUGGUAGGUUGGAUCUGUAUAUACAUCACUUCGAGCAUAAGGAUUACCUAGUAAAGUAAUAAGAAAUACAAGAAGAAGUAAAACUCUUCAAUCCAACAUUACAAGGGAGAAUUGGAAAAAAUAUUGAAUUGUUCCUCUGAAGUCCUUGUAGCCGGUGAUAGAGCAUAAUUUACAAUAAGGUCUUCCUUCUUUAUUUAUUUCUCUUAAUUUCUGGUGUUUGAAAAGAUUUAAGUUCAAACUUUUUGUUCAAGCAAUUGUGAAAUGAAACAAAGAGGCUGGAAUGGCAUUGGACAAAUACAAGUGAUAUUUUAUAAAAGAGUAAUUUGCGUAGAACACGUUUAUCGUUAUUGUGAUAUUUCAAUUCAAUAAUGCAAAACAUCUUAAAAAAUUUACACAUAACAUUAUAUAACAAAAAUAAAAUGUCAUGAUAAAUACGUUUACGUAAGUUCUUAUCAAGCAUCAUAUAGUUUCGUAAAGCUCAAAAAGGUAGAUAGUAUAUAAAGAACCAUAUACUUUCGUCAAGCUCAAUAAGGUAGAUAGCAUAUACUAAUUGAGAUGAUGUCAUUGUCAUGGUAUGGUAUCCUGGCUAAUAGAUCUAUGAAGGAAAAUUUAGUAUGAACUCGUAUAACUUCUCUAUACUCGGCUUAACUUUAAACAUGAAAUAUCUUUAUUAUCAUAUUGCAUAAUUACCAUCAAGUAUAAAAUAAAAUUAAUAAUAAAAAAAAUUUAUCAAUAAACUCAUUCUCAAUAAUCAAACCCUAAUCAUUACGUAAUCUUUCUCUUAUGUUCUAUCGUGGAAAAAAUCAUAAGACGCUCUCAUAGAGAAAAACAAGUUUUUUUUUUUUUUUUUACGGAUGAACGGUAAUUUUAAAGUUUUGGAUCCUCCCACUUUUAUCAUUGUCGUCAUCAUACUACCUCCACCACCACCACCACCACCACCACCACCACCACCAACCCUACCACCACCGUCAUCAUCUCCAACAUUACUUGUCACGUCCAUGAAACCUACUUGUACUUCUGCUACUACUGUUGCCAAAACAAAAAACAGCGGCUGAUCAAGAUCAACGGCAAGACAUAAGAAGAGGAGGGAAGAGAGAUGGCAGGUUUUCACUAGUACUGCUAUCUCUUAUACAUGAUAUCAAAACCCUACUUAUUGUAUGAGUAGUGUUUCUCGGACAAAAGGGGGUUAUCCAACUCUUUGGCUCAAGGGGAUCAAGCGUAUCGGUCCAACCAUUUACUACAUCAACCUAGCAAAUCCACGCGUACAUAGCUUUUUCUAAAUUUUUGGCUACCAGCUAUUUCACUUUUAGUUAUCCCUUUUAAUUAAGUAAUGAAAGUUAUUUUCUUUAAUUAACAUGUUCAGAUGUUACUCAUACCUAAUUAGUAGCUAGUCUUGUUGUGUAGCUGUAAACAUGUGAGAGCAUAAUAAUUAUUGCACUUCGUUCCAUUUUGUUUGCAUUGUUGAGUGUUGAUAAUUAAUGAUGCAAUCUUAUUACUAAUUUAUUUAUAUAUUGUGAGAAGAGAUUACAUUUCUCAAUUUCUAACUUCCGUGCAUGACUUUGCUAGCUGUUAUUCCUAGUACUACAAGUCAACCUACAAAAUACGCAUGCAUUUAUAAAACUAGCUAGGGUUUGGUUAAUUUGGUUUGACUCUCGUAGUCUCAUGGCAAUUAUGUUUAAUUAGAUUAAUGAAUUUAAUUAACAUGGAUCUUUACCAAAUUGAUCCGGGUAUUUUCUAAUGUGAAAAAUAAUGAUUGUAAAGAGAAACUUAUAUGUUGAAUUAAGUUUGUGAGGGUAGUUUAGAUAAUAAAUAACGAUUUAAAAAGAUAUUAAUAAUUUAAUUAAAAAUAAUACAAAUCUAAAAAGUAUGUUCUAUGCAGAAAAAAAGUUGGAUAAGCUUCAAAUAAAAUUUCUCAUGCAUAAAAAAAAGAUGUGACUAUUUAAUAAGGAGCAGGUAUGCAUUUUUUCACCUAAGAUGCCCUGAAAGAUCAAAUCAAUUGGUGAGUGGAACCUGUACGUCCAUAUCCGAAAGUUAACCUAAUUUAUAUAAAUGUGGUGGCGUAACUUAGUCUCCAUAAUAAUUCAGGUACUGUAUUGAUUUCUUCGACUCCACUUAAACUGAACAAGUUUGGUUCUCAUGCUUAAUUGGGACAAUAGUCUAGAAGAGUGCUUGGACCAUCAUUCUCACAUACAAGUUGUGUAGGUGAGUUGAUUAUUGCCGUUUGAGAAAUGCUAAGAAGACUAUUUUCUAAGUGAGAUUUUUUGUUAACUUACAAUUUAACGUUAAUUUUUAUGUCAAUAUUAUAAAAUGUGUGUGCAAAAAACAUGAGGUGACAGAAAGUCCAUCAAGAGUCUUACUUUUAAGAUAGCCCCUAUAACAUUUCUCUUUCCUUUUUUAUUUUGUGAAUCUCAUACGCAUGAACAAUUAGAAUCAGUUUCAAAAUUAAUCCUAGCCACACCAAAUUAGGUAAUUCUAUGAAAACUCACAUUUCAAUGAUCCAAACAAAAGUGUUGAACAUUACUACACAUCGAAUAUUACUAUAUCUUAAUGUUUGCUCAAAUUAAUUACUCAAAACAGUAUGAAACAACCAGUUUGUUGAAAAUUGAAAUACAAACUCCAUGAAGUAUUAAGUAGGUGCACAAGCAUGUGGUCUAAUAUCUUAGUUAAUAGAGUUAGAUUUUUAUCUAUAUGCGUGCCAAGUUCGAAGCCCCCAUCUCCUUAAUUAUUGUAAGAGAAAUGCUAAGGAGACUCUCUCAAAAGUAGGAUUCUCCAUAAACUCUCUGCAACCUCAUGUUUAUUACACAAUAUUUUAUAAUGUUGGCACGAAAAUUAACAUUAAAACAUGAGGUAAACAAUUUCAUGUGCGACGUCUAUGCUUCUUUAAAGGUGGAAUGUUUUGAAGAAAUCUCACUCGCGAUCAAUUUUAUUAAUUAACUUUAAAUCUAUCCGUUGAGAGAGUUGAUUACUUAGGUAAAAAAUUGCGCUAGAGCGUUGAUUUUAGGUUAUAAGUGUAUACAAACCUGAAUUCUAUCCAAUGGUUGAUAGACACCCUAAAACAAUCAACCAUAGUGAUAAGUUCAAUCAAAGGUAAAGAAAAUUGAAGAAAUGAGAUUUUGUCAUCGAGUCAAUUCUUUAAGCAAAUCCAAAUAAUAAUGAUCGUAUUAUACCUUAAAUUGAAACCGUAAAAAAAAGUGAUUCUUUACAUGAAUAUCAACCAUUCCCAUAAAUGAUAUCAAAGUUAAAUCAUAUUGAUUGUGGCUGAGAUUUUCUCAAAACGCAAGUUCUUUUACAAAGAAAAAACAUUGUGCAUAGAGAGAAUCUCAAAUUGUCAAUUUGUACAUGAUUGUAAAUCAAAAUUAUUGGUUGGUGCAUGCUCUAAGUAAUGGGAUUUAGCGUCGAGCCGUUAACAACACUGUUAGAGCGAGGCUCACAAUAGCUUCAUUCAUCUGCCCACAAGAUGAUACUCUGAUACGCCCACAAAAAAACUCUCAUAGAUGAUAGGUCUUUAUUUUUUCUUUAUGGCAGUACAGACACUUGUUUUGUCCGUUGUACACCAGGUUUUUUCAUGUUUUACACCCCAUUGCAAGCGUAUGAAUCCAAAUUUAUAACAUACAACGAACAUAAAAUCACUUUCAUAUUACCUUUUUUUUUUUUUUUUUUUUUGUAACAUAUAAACCUAGUUAUGGUGAAAAAUAUACGACCACCAUAUCAAAAUAAAAGCAAUAUGAAUGCAGACGGCAGCAUACCACUGCCAAAGUUAUACUCAAAUCUUCUUAAGAAACUCAAUGACAUAGGUGUUGAAAGCGGAGCAGAUGACGCGGAAACCUUUGAAGCCAGAUCCCUUAGCCAAGGCCUCAAACUCCUUCUCCGUCCGCUCUUUUCCUCCGGGAUUGUGAGCUAACAUGAUCACGUCGAUAUGGACAACUCCCUUGGUGGCAAGGCUGCUGUCUGGAGCUACUGGAAGAAUGCACUCAGCAAGAAUCACCUUCCCAUUGUCAGGGAGCGCGGUAUAACAGUUCUUCAAAAAUUUCAAGCAAUGAUCGUCACUCCAGUCGUGACAUAUAAACUGUAAGAUUGCAUACAUGAUUUGAGAGUAGUUCCAAAUUAUUAUGCAACUAAGCUCUUAUAAGAAAUUGAUAUUAGCACUACAAAAUAGUCAUCGACUCUCUUUUUGAUAAAUAAUAACUAACCUUCAUGAAAAUUGCAUCUCCCUUUGGAACACUUACAAACAUGUCUCCUCCAACAUGCUCCACACCUACAUCCAACAUCCAUAGAUCUCAUAUUCAUUAGGGAAAAUGAUAAGUAGUACAAACAUAAGCAAUAUUAGAGGAGGAGAAAUCGAACUUGAGAAAGAUCGAGGUAAAGGUGAAUGCUUUUAAGUUAUUGAACUACAAGCAUUAUCAAAAAUGAAGAAUAUACCAGGAUAUUGGGGAGCAUCUUCUAUGACAUGAGGCAGGUCGAAGUUAAUACCCUUAAUCGAGGGGUACUUAGAAACGAUCAUGUUAGUAAUAGCGCCAGUGCCACCGCCCACAUCUACGACGGAUGUGAGGCCCUCAAAGCCCUUGUAGGUCUCUAAAAGUUUUUUCAUGGUAAUGGUAGAGUGGGCAGCCAUUCCUCUGUUGAAGACCUUAUUGAAUCUAGGGUCAGUGCCAUGGUACUCAAAAGCAGUCAUUCCAUAGGCCUUGUUGAAUGGAAUUCCUCCUUCAAGAACUGCAUCUUUCAAGUGGUACCUGCACAAACCCAAAACAAGCAUACAUGUCACUCUCACAACCAAAAGCAUAUAGUAUGUGUAAAAUAACGAAACAACACGUCGUUUGAUCAGUCAUAUGGGCAUGGCUCAUAUGUGACCUAGGCCAAGCCACCUACCACGUGUUUCAAUGCCCGCAUAACUCACAAGCAUCAAAUAACAAGGGAUUGUUGACAUAAUUAUUGUAUUGAUGUGGAUUACGUUAUUUAGCAAAGCAGUAUCCUCUUAUAUUCGAGUAUACAGUUUUGUUCCGACGUUCUUAUGAAAAUUAUGGAGGAGGGGAUUUAAAUGACCUCUAACAAAUUGACCUAACUCACAUUCGAACUUUAUGAAAGAAUAAAAUAAUUAAAGUGUCAAACAAUGGAGUCAUACAAAGGAAAAAUGUUAAGAUGUAAUUAGAAUAUCCUCCAUUUUUUUUUCUAACUUGUUUAAAUUAAACAUAUGUUCCUUUACAAAAUUCGAUUGAGAUGUUUUGGUCAAUUGCCAACUAAGCAUUUUUUAAAUUUUUAAUAUAUAUCUACUUAAAGUAGCUAACAACUAAUUUCCUACUAUUUAAAAAAUUUUAAAGUCGUGGCUUUAUUAGAAUUAUCAAUUUAACUAAUUUCUCAAUGUCACUAAAAAAAGAGAAACCUUUUAUUUUUGUUAUUAUAUUUAAUUAGCCUCUUCUUCUAUUUAAAAAAGUCAUUAAUAAUUUUAGAAAAAAAAAACUUCAUUAAUUUGUUAAAAUUUUAGUAAGUUAUAAAAUAAUAUAUUUAAAACUUAUAGUACAUUUUGAAAAUAAACAUAUUGAUUUUUUAUGUUUAGAUUCUAAAUAUACUAAGGAACAAAAUGUACCAUAAAAGCAAAUAUAUCUAUAUUAUAGGUAAUCAAACGUAUCAAUAUAGUCAAUCGUACUUCUGAUAAACUUGUAAAAAAAUUUCGACAGAAAAAAAAACUUGUAAAAAAAUGUUUAAUUAAAAUUUUAAAAUAAAUAAAUAUUUAAUCACCAAAAUUGAAAAACGAGACUUUUUUUUCAAACACCUCAAAGAUUAACAAAAACAGAAACGUUUGACAUUUAAACACCAUGGUAUGGUUGGUGAAGUGAUGAUUUCCACUCCUAAUUUGGUUAAGUGGCAAUCCUAAAACAAGUGGCCCAGUCAUCAUCAAACCGUUGUUCGUAUCUUGUUCGAGUACGACGCUUAUCUCGUCCAUUUAUUAAUCUUACCUGACGAUCAAAGAAAGAAACAAAAAUAUGUCGUCUGUUUUAUGUCGUCUGUUUUAUAUCCCUAUCACUCUAAACAAGUCAACAAGUUUGGCAUCGUCCCCUCGAGUCUUCUGCCUUUCAUUAAGAUUGGACCAAUUACUAUUCUAAAAUGUUAAGGUUGAAUAGCACCGAUAAUAAUACUCACCAUUUUAUUAGAAGAAUUUAAAAUUUUAAAUCUUGUCUAAAAUAAAUAUAAAUUUCAAAACUUAAAUUAAUAAUAAAAUAAUGAGAAACAGCAAGUCAAAUUAAACGGCUUCACAGAAGAAUCUUUCGAAAACUGUGACAAGAAUGAUCAAUUUCCAGUCUUGUCUGUUCCCAACGACAAAAUUUUUAUUGUGACAAGAAAACAAGAAUACAUCACGUAGUAAUAAUUUAUUUUUUACGUUAUUAACUUUUUAACACAUAUAUUUUAUUAUUUGUAUAAUGAUAUGUGAUGUACCAUCUCGUGUGCCGGUUACAUUGAAAAAUCUUUUGUCCCCAACGACCAAAUCAGGAAUAAAAUUUUAAUUGUUACGGGACAUAGAUGGUACAACACGUGUUUUUAUGUAAGUGGUAAAAAAUUUUACUUUUUAAGUUAUUAACUUUUUAACACACAUAUUCAAUUAUUUGUAUAGCGAUACUUGGUGUACCAUCUCGUGUACCGAUCAUAUUGAAAAAUCUUUUCAAAUCGGGCAAAAGUAAUACGAGCAAAGAAGAAAAUAGUUGAGAAAGAGAAUGGUUAAGUAGAAUGUUUUAACCGUGGAAUUACUUACGUAAUCUUCGUCAUAUUAGUUUUUGACAUAAUAUUUUAUAAUAUUAAUAUAAAAAAUGUCAAAAAUUAUGAGAGGACGAAGAGUCUAUGAAGACUUUCUUUAGCAUUUCCCAAAAAGAAAUGUUAAGUAGAGUCUGCACAGACUCUGACAACUUAUGUUUUUUGCAUAAAUUUUAUAAUAUUGGUACGAAAAAUGAAUGGAAAUUGAGGUGGUAAAGAGUUUAUAGAAAAUCUCACUUUGAUAGAAUCUCUGUGUCAUAUCUCUUAGUAGAAAGGAUAAUAUUGGGUAGAUAAACUUUUUAGACAAAAUUUAUAAUUGAUUUGAUGUGUCACCAGUAAAAAUAAACAUGUUAAUCAUCAAGAUAUCAAUAAACACAAUAUAUAGUUUUAAACGAGAAAUGUUAAGACGACUCUCAUUGGACUCUUUGCCACCUUAUGUUUUUUAUAAAAUAUUUUUAUAAUACUGACAAAAAAAUUAACUUUAAACUAUAAAGUGGCAGAGAGUACGUGGAAAGUGUCACUUUAAGAGAGUCCUCUUAGCAUUUCUCUGAUAAAAUAUGUAUUAAAUAGAUAGUAUCUAUAACAUUACUCUACUCUACUAAUAAGGGUAAUGCUAGGAAAUGUUGUAAAUUAAAUGAUAUAGUUGUGAUGAUUGGAUUAUUAUUUAAAUGUUGAUUACCUUUAUUUAUUAUUGAUAAUAUAUAAUUUAAUUUGUAAAUUUAGUUUAACAAAUUAGUCUCCUUAAUAACCUCCUAAAAAUAUAGAUAACAAUCACAUACUCAAGGCCCAACUCACAGUAAGUAACAUUUUUAUGAAUUUAUUCUGAUCAACCUAUUUAAAACCCAUUAUUAAUGUUUGUUUACGAUCAAAUUAGGAUGAUAAAUUAAGAAGAAUGGUAAUUACCAGCUCUCCAUGAGGACCUUGUCCUGAUUCAUGAGGCAGAGAGGAGCAAUGGAAACACCAUCCUCGUUCUUUGUCAAGAACUUGCAGACGGGGCCGAGGCCGUACAGCUGCUCGACAUUGCCGUCGCGAAGCGUGCGGAGGGAGUAAGUGAGGAUGGAGUAGCUGGCCAGGAGGCGCAGCAUGCGGUCCAGCAUGACGGUGGCGUCAGGGUUCUUGGUCGGCAGCUGCGAAGCUAAGUCUGCCGGAGAAACGAAAGCGCCAGGCCCUGCUCUCGCCAUGAUCUCGAGGAGGUCGAGCUCAAGGGCUGCCUUGAGCACCAUGGGGAGAACAGAGGCGCUGGCUAGCUGCAUGGCGAAGAGGUUUGCUUCUUCGUCGGAAACUUGCGUUGGAGUCAUCUGAGUCUCUACGGUCGAACCCAUUUUUUGGAUUUGGUGUUGGAGGGGAGAGAGAGAGAGAGAGAGAGAGAGAGGAAUGAGGGUAGAAGAGAUGGGUGUUCUAACUGGCAAUAUAUAGGGAUUUGUUUGCUCACCCACCGCUUUUGAUGUGGUACCUAGGUGUCGACCACCAUGCAGGACCUCACAUGCCUCGCACAGGUCUUCUCUUUUUAAGGACUGGUUUGGUAUUGCUAUGUUUUAAGAAAAAACUACUUCUGUUAUGCUGUGAUAAUAAGUUCAUUUUUACUGCUUUACGUUUUCAGCUUUUUUUUCAUCCAAAACUGUGAAAAUAAGCUGUUUUUAAGUGUUUACCAAACAUCUUUUUGAGCUCAGUUUUUUUUUUAUACCCACUUUUUAUAAAAACACAUCAGUACCAAACCAGUACUAAGUAUGGCUUUAUACUGUAUUCUUUAUCUGGUUUUGUUUUGUUUUAUUUCUUUUUAGGGAUUCUUAAGACCAAAUCCAACUCGGGGCUAAAUGCUAUUUUUUAGGUUUUAUUCCCCCCAAACCCAACCCAACUCAUGCUAAAUGUGUGGGCUAAAAGCUAAAAGCCAAAUUCCUCCUAGGAUUUAGCCCAGAAAAUGGUGUGGGCACCACCAACGGAAGCUCACCCACAUGGGCAUGUCUCCCAAAAUUUAUUGAAUCAAACGGCUGAGAUCAAAUAUAAUCAAAUCUAAUGGUAAAAAAAAGAUCUAACAACCUAAAUUUAAAUCCAACAGCUAAAAUAAUUUUAAAAAAAUAUUUAACUCAAAAUUCACCCAAAUUUAGUGAUUUUUCAAUAUUUAUCGGAAUUUAAAUAUUUUUAGGUUAAAAUGUUCAAAAAAUUAAAUUAUGAUACAGUACAUAAUUAUUUUAUUUUUUUUAAAAUUAGCCUAAAUUUAUUCUUUAAUAAUCUUAGGCUAAAAAAUUUAGGCCAAAAGGGUUGGAACAGAAAAACUGUUUAUGGGCUAAAACUUAAAUUUUUUGGGCUAAAUUUUUUAUGUUUUAGCCCAAGGGUUGGAGAUAGUCUAAGAGUAUUUAUUCUUAUAUUUAAGGUAGAAAAUUGUUAUAAGCACUUCAAAAAUUUCAUUUGGUACUCUAAACUUUAUAUAAUUAAAAAUAUAUAUAUACUUAUGAUGAGUGUAGAAUGAGAUUUUUGUAGUGCUAAUAAAAAUUCCCUUAAGGUAUUGUGUUUAAUAUUUUUCCCUCUUAGUUUUGUUUUUGAAAAAUAUAUGAACAAACUUAAUGAUAAUUUACAUAUCCAAACUUUGAGGGCAAGUUAGGGCGCAAUAGUAAUGUUGGUCCUUUGUAAUCGGAAAGUUAUAGGUUCGAGUCGUGGAAACAGUCUAUUUACAAAGUAAGAAUAAUAGUGCGUACGAUAAACGUUUAUCACCGCAAAGCGGAAAGUCUUGUUGGCUUGCGGGCCCCUUACAAAUCCAAAACUUUCCUAUCAAAAAGUGUAGUUUACUUCAAUACAAUGUAUACUCGAUGGUUUAAAGUAACGCGAACGCAUUUCACACUAGUACAUCUACUGAUAUAUUGUUCUCCUGGAGUUGGAGUUGGGAGAACUGGAAAAAAGAAGUGAAUUGCUCCUUUUUGAAGUCCUUGUAGCUGGUGAUAGAGCAUAGUUUACAAUAAGGUCGUUGUUAUUUAUUUAUUAUAUGUUAUGGUGUUUGAAAAGUUUUUAAGUCCAAAGUUUUUCUCCCUAGUUGAUCCGGCAAAACAAGUUACUUAAUCCAAGAAUUUUGAAAUGAAACAAAGAGGCUUGAAUGUCAUUGGACAAAAUAUAAAGGCUUUUUAGCCAAAAUGGUCAUUGAGAUCUGCAUAAUACAUCAUUUUGGUCCCUGAGAUUGAAAAUCAAUAGAAAUAGUCCAUGAGAUUGUUCACCAUCCAUUAUUUUUGGUUAUUCCGUUAAAAACUCCGUUAAGUGUCCGAGAGCUCUUGGCCAGAAGUUUGAACAAUUUUAAAAGCUUCGUAACUCAAUCGUUUCUUAACCAAAUUCAACUCAUAAUAUAUCAAAUGAAAAUAAGAAAGUGUAGAACAAGAUUAUACCUAUUUUGAAGCCCAAUGGUUGUAGAAGAUGGCCGGAAAAUAGCCUGAAAUGUGACUGGUCUGUGGAAAAAUUGGAAAACUCGUCGGAAACUGGGUAAACUUUAAACGUUCAUAACUUCUUUAAUACUCAACUAAAUCGAGUGAUUUCAAAAACGAAAAUCAUACUUCUUAACGAGAUGAAGAGAAUGGUACAUUUUUAUACGGAUAAUUCGCCAUGGUUUGACCGAAAAAUGACUCGAAAGUGGCUAAUUCGAGACCAAGACAACCACGUCAAGAAAUGUAUCAUUCUCUUCGUCUCAUCAAGAAGUAUGAUUUUUGUUUUUGAAUCACUUGAUUUCGUUGAGUAUUGAAGAAGUUAUGAACGUUUAAAAUUACCUAGUUUUCGACGAGUUUUCCAAUUUUUCUGCGGACCAGUCACCAUUCAGGCUAUUUUCUGGUUAUCUUCGGCAACCAUUAGGCCUCCAAGUAUGUAUAAUCUUGUUCUACACUUUCUUAUCUUCAUUUUGAUAUAUUAUGGGUCGAAUUUGGUUAAAAACGAUUGAGUUACGAAGCUUUGAAAAUUGCCCAAACUUUCGGCCACGAGCUCAUGAAUACUUAACGGAGUUUUUAACAGAAGGACCAAAAUAAUUGAUGUUGGACAAUCUCAGGGACCAUUUCUAUUGAUUUUCAAUCUCAGGGACCAAAGUGAUGUGUUAUGCAAAUCUUAUGGACCAUUUUGGCUAAAAAGUCAACUAUAAAAUAGCAAUUUGCAUGGAAUGAAUAUAUUGUUAUUGUGCUACUUCAGUUCAAUAAUGUAAUGAAAUACCUAAAAUAAUUUACACUAACAUUAUAUAAUAGAAAUGAAACGUCACGUGAUGAUAAACACGUUCCAUAUAAAUCUUUACAGUAUUCUUGAUCAAGCAUCAUAAGUAUGGUGAUGUUAAUUACCUUAGACAACAACUGUGCCUUCUCCAUAAUAAUUCAGGUAUUGUUCGAUUUCUUGGACUCCAUUUAAGCUGAAAUGGUUUGGUUCUCUUGCUUCAUUGGGACAGUAGUCUAGAAGAGUGCAUGUACCAUCAUUUGCACACAUAAAUUGUGUGGGUGAGUUGAUUAGAGCAGUUUCACUCGACAAAUGCAAUAAUUGUCUAGGUAAUUAUUGUCUAAGUGAAUAGUAAUUAUCUAAGCGUUUUUUUAUUUCGUAAAAUAAAUUGCCCAUGUAGUUGACAUUAAAAAAUUAGUAUAAGUUUGUUUUGUUUCGAAUAAGAUUUUAACAAAUCAUGUCACGUCAUGUGUGAUUAUUCAAAAUUAAAAUUUUUGUGGAAAUAUUUUCGAUUAGAUUUUUAACGAAUCUCAUAGUGCCACGUGUCAUGAUCCUGUAAUUUUAUUUUUUAUAAUUUUUAAUAUUUAUUUGUUGCGUAAUUAAUAUGAACCGUUGGAUUGCAAACCAACCCAUAUUAUGCCGUGUGGGCCAAAUUAGUAAGUGUCUUGUUUUAGAUUUUGCUUUUAUUUUUUUUCUUGAAAAAAAUUGGAUAUAGAAACUUUAUGUAAAUUGAACUGUUGAGGGUUGAGUGUACUUGCAGCGCGGGCCCCAGCGCUGCAGGUUUGGUUAGUUGACUCACCUUAAACUACAUGCGCUUGACACAAAAAAAUAAAAAAUAAAAAAAUAAAAACACACAUAGAACAUUGCUAAUGCCAGUUCCACUUAGGCUUUGAGUUGAGCUAUUCCUGGCCGAUUGAGCAAUCGGGCUCUACUUCCUUCCACUGUAGCUCGACUCAUUGGCCUGGGGUGUGAAGGAUUUUGGAGGUUUUGAGGGAUUUAGUCACCCAACUGCUUGAGCAAUUGAGAAGAGUAGACUUGCUCUUAUUGCCGUUAUUGUUUUGUAAGUCACACUCACACACACACGAUUACAAUCAAUUUCAAAAAUUAAUCUAAAAAAUCCUAUGAAAAUUGAUCACAUUUCAAUGAUCCAAACAGAAAAGGUUAAUAGGUUAAUAAUUUAUGGACAUCAAAUAUACUAUAAUAAUUUCAAUAUCUGCUCAAACUAAUCACUGAUAAAAACUCCAUUAGGUAAGUCGAUAAAUGGUGUUAUUUAAUUGGCUAGGGUUUGACAAACGAAGGGAAUCACCGUCACAUCUCACCUAAUUUUUGAACAUGUUGACGACGGGUCGGAAUUCGGAUGCAGCUCUUGGUGACCAAAACAAAUUGCAAUUCCACCUCUUAGUUGGACCCUUCACUUUUUGUCUGGAAGAAAAGUAAUCUUUCCAGAGAUAAAAAAAUAGGUUCGUGAAAAUUGAGAACCAAAAGAAUUGCAAAGGUCUCCCCUCUUUAACAAAACUUCUUCACCAACCUUGCAAAAGGAUUAAAAAUCUAAGAGAGUAUAGUUGUGCAACGUGUUUAAUUAAAAUAUUUGUUCACCAAUUUAACCUUUCAUUGAUUAGUUUGCGCUUUCCACAGUCCAAUUGAAUAAAGUAGGAUGUGUAUGAUGUUGACUGUUCCACUAAAUACAUUAUUAUCACUGCUAUAAAAUAUAUUUGUUCUCCUGACAUGAACAGUGGAGAUUGCACCAAAGGGUUUUAAAUUUAACUAUUUGAGUAACGUGCAACAUUAUUUAUUCUCCCAGACUAUAAUGUGCUGGAAUCCUUCAUCCACCAUUAUCGUUUGUAAUUUGGUGGCCAAAGCUUCUAACAAAACAUAAUACAAAGAUGUCCAUACCGUUAAUAGGUUUAUGGGGACUGGAUAUGUUAGGUCAUAGUAUCGUUCUCUUUUGAUAUAUACGGUAAUUUUUUUUAAAGCAAUCCUCUGUAAUGGUGAAUAAUCUCUUUUAAAGUCACAAAAAAUUAAUGUCCCAUGUAUGACCAGUUCCCUAUAUUGUAAUAAGUUAUAAUUUUUCUUGAUCCCAUUUUAAGUAAAGACGUCUCCACAUAGUUAUAAAUAAUUGUCAAUGAAUGCAAGAAUAUGCAAAAAUAUAAAAUAAUUGGGGCCCAACAAAUCUUAUUUAGGAAAUACAUAAUAAUGGGAUCGUGGGUCAAGUAUGUUCUUGAACUGAAAGAUUUGAACCUCCGAAUAGCAGCAUUCAUUAAGGAUAAAUAAUAUUUCAGGUAUGUAAUGGAAUAAACUCUAUAUUGUAACAAAUUAUAAUUUUUGUUUGUCUCAUCUUGAGAAAGCACGCAUCUACAUAGUUAUAACUGUCAAUGAUUACAAAAGUAUACAAAAUAUAAAAUACUUGCCGUUCAAAGAAUCCUAUUUAGGAAAUAAACAUUCAUCAAGGAUAAAUAAUUCAAUAAAUAAUGUUUUUAAGUACACCCUCUAUUUAGUAAUAACCUCUCUAAAAUUAUAAAACUGGUUUGGUUCAAACUGUAUAACUUUAAAGAGGUUGUAUUGUGUUGUGUUUACUUACACGCAAAGAAUGAAAAAAAAACAAAUGGAUCUUAUGUUGAAACAAAGUAUGUCGCACAUAAAGAAUCUGAAAUAAAAUUUCAUAUCGGAACAAUCAGGUAUGAUUUUCAAUCAUGACUUCUACUACUCCAAAUACGUAAGUAAUGAUGAAAUAAACAAACAAAAUCCACUCACUAAUCCCUAUCUUGUACACACUUAAACAUGUGUUAAGUAGAUGAUUUUCAAUCAAUCAAUCAUACAAUUUGUAAUUAUGAUCUAGUUUUCUUUUCCUUUCCAGGGAGAUGUGUGCAUGCCCAAUUAAUAGCAAGCAAAUGACGUCAUUCCAUUGCAUGGAUUAUCCAUACCACAAAUGUCAGGCCCCAAUAAUUUUUAAUUUUGGUCUGGGCCAGUUUGGACAUUGAUAAUUCACAAUUUUGGGCCAGCCUAAGUUGUCGUCUGAAAUCUCGUACACUGCCACUAUUCGAUAGAUGCCGGUCCUCCUUUCCAUUUUAAACGAAGUGGUGAUUGCGUCGAGAGCCUAAACGUGACUGUUUAUCCGGAUCAGUUGACGAAAAGAGAUUCAAAAAAUUCAAAAUCCUGGGUGAGAGAAAAUGAGCGAAAUCGGAAUCGAUGUCAAAGAGAUUAAUCUGUCGUCGACGACGCUGUCACGCGAGAAGAAGGGAGAGACAGCCGAGAAAACUCCCCAGAAAGCUCCGUCGUCUUCUUCUGCGGAGGACGAGGACGGGAGUCCAAUCAGGCACAUUGUCUGUGUCAAAAACAAGGUCGAUGUCAAACACUUUGAGGACGUCGAGGACUGCUUCAUCUUGGAUUUCGACCCCUUUGAGCCGGUGCAGUUUUCCAAGUUGUCCGUGUCGGAUAAUGGUGGUGGUGGCGGUUCUCCCGAUGUCACUGUUGUUGCUGAGAAAGGACAGGUUUUGAUUUUUACCGUUGACCCUUUUGAUUUGUUGUGUUAAUUUUCUUUCUUCUGUUUGGUUGCUGGGAAAAUGCAGGUGAAGAAUUGAAUUUGAAAUCAUAACCCCAUGUUACAUAUGACCCCCUUCUAGGGUUUUGCGAAAGAAAGGAAAUUUUUAAUCAAAUUUCUUUCUUUGUUGUUGUGUUUGGUUGCUGGGAAAAUGCAGGUGAACAAAAUGUAUUAGAAAUUGUAACGCCAUUGUGAUAUUUUGCCUAUGAACCUUCAGGUGUUUGACCUCAAAAGAUUUUAAAUUUAUAAGAAACUUUUCUGCUUAUCUGUUCAUAUUCCAAUUUUUGUAAAUUUAUGAGCUAAUUUGGUGAAUGUCUGAUGGCUCGUGUGGAUUUGAAUUGAUGCUGUGUAGGUUGCUUGUAGAGACUAUCCACAUUCAAGACACCUCUGCCUGAAAUUUCCUUUCGAGACGACACCCCAUGAGAGCUACUGUGAGCUGGUAACAGAGUUUUACAACUUCAAAUAUUUGCAUCUUGUGAAUGUAUCCCCGAUUCCCUCUCUAUAUUGUCUAACUUGGCAUCUCAAAAGUGAACUCACUGAUUGUAUGUAGUGCUACUGCUAUGUUUGCGAUUCUUCCGCUCCAUGCGGGUUGUGGAAACUAUCACAUUGCCACGCCGCUGCGCACAUCAGUGACUGGAAGUGCAAAAGGAUGAUGAAACAGCAAGCCACGGUGAAGAAAUGAACAAAGCUCCCGUUGUUUAGCCGUAUUGCGGAUAGCGGUGUAUGAAAAAUACCAGAAAAGUGAACUGUUGUUUUACUAUUAGGCGGUCAAGUUCAUGUAAUUUUGUUCAUAGGGAGGGUACUUGAAAUGGCUUUUGUUCUGACCCGAAGAGAUGUAGUUACUAAUGAACUUACGAUGUUGGUAGAAAUGGAAUCAAAUUUGAUUAGUUCAAUUCGAAUUGAAUUGAAUCUGAUUGUUGUGAAGAAAUCUCACUUGCGGUCAAUUCUUUUAAUUAACUUUAAUUCUAUCUGUUGAGAGAGUUGUUUACUAAGGUAAAAAAUUGCGCUACAACGUUGAUGUUUGAGAAGAGAAUGCUUUAAAUGAUGAUUUUAUUCUUCUCAAUGAGAGGUAUUUAUACAAGGUGUACAACCCUAAUGUAAUCGGAAGAAAACUAAUUACAUGAGAUUACAGGAGAUUACACAUAAUUGAUAUCAUUUAGGAAUCAUACCUAAAAUACAAAGCCAACACUCCCCCUCAAGUUGGUGCAUAUAUGUUACUCAUGCCCAACUUGUGUAAAAAACAUGAAAACUUAUGACUUGAAACAGCUUUCAUGAGGAUAUCUGCCAACUGAUCCUCUGUUCUUAUUGUCGGUAGCUAAAUUAUUUUUUCUUCUGAUUUUUCUUUGAUGAAGAACCGAUCAACUUCAACAUGCUUUGUUCUAUCAUGUUGUACCGGAUUAUGUGUAAUAUACCCAAAUCACAAAGCAGGAGCUUAAGCCAUAGAAUUUCACAAAUCCCCAAGGCCAUACCUCUAUAUUAAGCUUCUGCAAUGGAACAGGCAACCACAUUCUAUUUCUUACUUCUCCAUGUAACCAAGUUGUCCCCAACGAAUGUAAGGUAACCUCAUGUUGAGCCUCUAUCGUCAAUCGAACCUGCCCAAUCUGCAUCAAUAUAACAUUAAACUCUAAUAUGAUUAUUCCUUUUAAACAAAAUUCAUUUGCUGGACUUCCUUUCAAAUAUCUCAAAAUUCUCAUCACUGUAUUCAUAUGUUGUUCUUCGGGAUCAUGCAUGUAUUGACUUACUACACUUAAGGCAUAAGCAAGGUCCGGUCUUGUGUGUGCCAAGUACAUUAAACGACCUACUUUUGGUAUCUCCCUUUGUCAACUGGUACUUGAUUAGGAUCAACACUAAGCUUCAAUCAUUCAUCUAAUGGUGUAGCUACUAGUUGACAAGCUGACAUGCUGGUUUCGUGCAACAAAUCAAUAAUAUACUUCCUCUGUGAUAAGAAAAUUCCCGAACUGCUUCUCGAUCCUCAAUCCCCAUAUAAUAUUUCAAGGAUCCAAGGUCCGUCAUCUCAAAUUCUGUAGACAAAUAUCUUUGCAAGGCCGCACGUUCUUCUGGGUCAUUACCUAUUACCAACAUAUGAUCUACAUACAUAAUAAGUGCAGUAAGUUUUCCAUUUCGUCUUUUCAGGAACAUAGUAUGAUCGGAGUUACUUUGUUUGUAGCCAAAUGCUUUCACAGAUUUUUUGAAUUUUCCAAACCAUGCCUGAGGGGAUUGCUUAAAACCAUAUAAGGAUUUCUUCAACCUACACACUUUUCUUUUGUAUUUAUCUGGAGCAUUACAUCCUGGUAGAAGAUCCAUAUAAAUCUUUUCGGUUAAGUCUCCAUGCAAGAAAGCGUUCUUCACAUUGAACUGUUGUAAGGGUCAAUUAAGAUUUGCAGCCAAUGACAACAAAACACGAACUGUGUUGAUCUUGGCUAUAGGUGCAAAUGUAUAUGUGUAGUCGAUUCCAUAUUUUUUAGUGUAUCCUUUUGCUACCAGUCUUGCCUUGAAACGAUCCAUUGUCCCAUCUGCUUUGUAUUUCACAGUAUAAACCCAUUUGUAUCCCACAGGGUUCUUGCCAGCUAGCAAAUAUGUGAUCUCACAGGUAGAAUUCUUCUUCAAAGACUUCAACUCAUCAUUCAUUGCUGCUUUCCAACGUGCAUCAGCUAAAGCUUCCUGCACAUUGUUAGGAACAGAUACAAUAGAUAAUUGAUGCACAAACGACUUAUUUGAUUCUGAUAGGUGACUGAUAGACACGUAAGUACUUAACAUGUAUAACACAUUAGACUCAGGGUUGGGGUUACUCACCAGAUACCUAGUUUUACAUUUAGGGUCGGCUUCAUAAGUAAGUUUAGGAAUACCUUGAUUGAUGCGAUCAGGGAAACGACGUGGUGGUGGUGCAUCCAAGAUCGAAGACGAUUGAUUAUGGUUAUUGGGACGCAAGAUCCACUAUGAGGUAACUGGUGACACAGGUCCUGUAGUGAGGAAACUGGCAGUGAGCUAUCAGGCAGUGAGUUAUCUGGCGAUGUCGACUUGUCCCUUUCAAGGUUUUCAACAUUGUUUCCAUGUGAAAGAUCACUACUUGUCUCCCAGACAUUACCACUUAAUUCCAAGUCAUUCACAUCAUUGUUUUCGUGUGAAUGAUCACCACUUAUUUCCAAGACAUCACCACUUAAAUCCAAAUCAUUUACUCUAUCUAUAUCUGGAAUAGUAUAACAAGAGUUUGAACUUCUUUCUGAUUCUCCUCUCGAAGUGAAGACUCGGGAUUGGUAAAGUACAUAUCAUUCUCAUGAAACGCAACAUCCAUAGUGACAAACAACUUAUUCGUCGGAGGGUGAUAACAACGGUAUCCCUUAUGCCUUGAUGCAUACCCCAGAAACACACAUCAUAAAGCCUGAGGUUCAAGCUUACUUCGUUGUUGUUUGUGAAGAUGAACGAAAGCCACACAACCAAACACAUGAGGUGGAAGACUAGGGACUGUAGAAGCAUCAACAUGUCAAGAAAGUGCCUAAAAGGGUGUUUGAAAAUCUACAGAUCGGGAUGGAACACGAUUAAUGAGAUACGCAGCUGAGGUGAGAGCUUCUCCCCAAUAGGAUAACGGAAGACACGCCUCAAGUAAAAAAGCAUGAACAACCUCCAGAAGCUGACGGUUCUUGCGUUCAGCAACCCCAUUUUGUUGUGGAGUAUAUAGACAUGUAGUUUGAUGAACAAUCCCAUGAUGAUCAAAAAAGGCACGAAGUUCAGAGUUGACAUAUUCACCACCAUUAUCACUCCUGAGAAUUUGUAUUUGUGACUUAUAUUGUACUUGUACCAUUUUGUAAAACUGCUGAAAUAAAGAAGUAACUUCACUUUUGGAUUUCAUCAAACAAACCCAAGUCAUACGUGUGCAGUCAUCAAUAAAAGUAACGAACCAAUGAAUACCACCAAAUGUAACAGUUUUAGAUGGACCCCAAACAUUAAAAUGAAUUAUCAUAAAUGGAAUAGAACUUUUAUUCAAAUUGGAUGGAAACGAAGCACGAUGACUUUUAGCUAGUUCACAAACCCCACAUUUAAAGCUAGAAACAUCAUGCUUAACAAAUAGGCUAGGAAACAACCUCCAUAAAUAGCCAAAAGAAGCAUGUCCAAGUCGACGAUGCCACAACCAAAUCUUUGAAGCUUUAUUCCUAUCCCCUUGAUUUCCUUCCACUGCAAAAGCUUGAGUCAACAUGCAAGAAUUGUUUGAUGUCAGCUCCAAGUAGUAGAGCUUCCCCUUCCUAAUACCAUAACCAGUCGUCUUGCGAGUCCGAAUGUCUUUAAAAACACAAAAGGAAGGCCAAAAAAAUCACAAGACAAUGUAGGGCGACAAUUAUUUGAGCAACAAAUAAUAAAUUAUAGUCAAGAGAAGGAAUAACGAGUACAUAAUCAAAAAUUCAGGGUAUUAGAAAGUGAGACAUCACCUUCUCCGAUAAUGGGGGCAACAUUACCAUUGGCGACACUCACGACAGUUUUGGGGGAUGGUUUUAGGGUUUGUACCUGUCUAUAAUCACAAGUCAUAUGUUCAAUAGCACCCGAAUCAAUUAUCCAUGUAUUAUUCGUAACAGAUGCAAAAACUUUUAAAGCCUUACCAUCAUUACCUGUAUCAUUAAGAAAGGCUGACACUUUCUCGGCUAUAUAUUCAGAAUGAUCUUAGCUUCGGUAAUCGAGGCCAUUCCAAAAUAGUUAUAAUCAGUAUGCGAGUCCUUGAUUGAUGCAGCCUAGACCUCCAAGCAAACUGAGCCCAAGAAACCAAUCAGUAUGGGCCAACAAGGUAGCCCACCAACGACAGAACAAGAAAGAGACCAAUUUACAAAUAAAGCUGAUUUUUUUCGUUUUCUUUUUAUUUUUUCCUUUUUUUCUCUUCUUCUUCUUUUUUUCUUUUUUUUUUCUCUUCUUUUUUUUCUUUCCUUUUUUUUUCUUUUAAAACAAUACAAAACUUAAAUAAAAGCUGGUGCGGGUCUGCAGUCUUGAAGCAGCAGGGGUUGUCUGGAUUUUUUUAUUGCAGCAGCGAUCUCAGGUAAGUUCGCAGGUUAGGCUCUCCGGCGUGAUGCGGAUGAGUCAACGAAUUUCUUCAGGCGAGUUCAACGGAUUUCGGACAGCAGUAGGUCGUGGAUCAGGAUUUUUUUUUUCUUCCGGGUUUCAGUCGAAGACGGAUUGGACACGCAGAGAUGCCUUAAAUUUGAAACCGUAAAAAAUAGUGAUUCUUUGAUGAAUAUCAACCAUUCCCAUAAAUGAGAUCAAAGUUAAAUAAUAUUAAUUGUGACAGUGACAGAGAUUUUCUCAAAACUCAAGUUUUUUCACGAAGAAAAAACAUUGCAUAGAGAGAAUCUCAAAUUGUCAAUUUGUACGUGUAAUUGUAAAAUCAAAAUUAUGGGUUGGUGCAAGCUCUAAGUAAUUUGUCCGUCGUACACCAGGUUUUUUCAUGUUUUACACCCCAUUGCAAGCGUAUCCAAAUUUAUAACAUACAACGAACAUAAAAUCACUUUCUUAUUACUUUUUUAUUUAUUUGUAACAUAUAAACCUAGUUAUGGUGAAAAAUAUGCUACCACCCUAUCAAAAUAAAAGCAAUAUGAAUGCAGACGGCAGCAUACCACUGCCAAAGUUAUACUCAAAUUUUCUUAAGAAACUCAAUGGCAUAGAUGUGGAAAGCGGAGCAGAUGACGCGGAAGCCUUUGAAUCCAGAUCCCAUAGCCAAGGCCUCAAACUCCUUCUCCGUCCGCUCUUUUCCUCCGGGGUUGUAACCUAACAUGAUCACGUCGAGAUUGACAACUACCUUGGUGGCAAGGCUGCUGUCUGGAGCUACUGGAAGAAUGCUCUCAACAAGAAUCACCUUCCCAUUGUCAGGGAGCGCGGUAUAACAAUUCUUCAAAAAUUUCAAGCAAUGAUCGUCACUCCAGUCGUGACAUAUCGACUGCAAGAUUGCAUACAUGAUUUGAGAGUAGUUCCAAAUUAUUAUGCAACUAAGCUCUUAUAAGAAAUUGAUAUUACCACUACAAAAUAGUCAUUGACUCUCUUUUUCAUAAAAAAUAACUAACCUUCAUGAAAAUUGCAUCUCCCUUGGGAACACUUACAAACAUGUCUCCUCCAACAUGCUCCACACCUACAUCCAACAUCCAUAGAUCUCAUAUUCAUUAGGAAAAAUGAUAAAUAGUACAAACAUAAGCAAUAUUAGAGGAGGAGAAAUUGAACUUGAGAAAGGUCGAGGUAAAGGUAAAUGCUUUUAAGUAAUUGAACUACAACCAUUAUCAGAAACGAAGAACAUACCAAGAAAUUGGGGAGCAUCUUCUAUGACAUGAGGCAAGUCGAAGUUGAUACCCUUAAUUGAGGGGUACUUAGAAACGAUCAUGUUAACAACAGCGCCAGUGCCACCGCCAACAUCUACGACGGAUGUGAGGCCCUCAAAGCCCUUGUAGGUCUCUAGAAGUUUUUUCAUGAUAAUUGUAGACUGGGCAGCCAUUCCCCUGUUGAAGACCUUGUUGAAUCUAGGGUCAGUGCCAUGGUACUCAAAAGCAGUCAUUCCAUAGGCCUUGUUGAAUGGAAUUCCUCCUUCAAGAACUGCAUCUUUCAAGUGGUACCUGCACAAACCCAAAACAAGCAUGCAUGUUACUCUCACAACUAAAAGCAUAUAGGAUGUGUAAAAUAACGAAACACCACGUCGUUUGAUCAGUCAUAUGGGCAUGGCUCAUAUGUGACCUAGGCCAAGCCAUCUACCACGUGUUUCAAUGCCCGCAUAACUCACAAGCAUCAAAUAAUAAGGAAUUAUUGACAUAAUUCUUGUAUUGAUGUGGAUUACGCUAUUUAGCAAGGCGGUAUCCUCUAUGUUCGAGUAUACAAUUUUAUUCCGAUUUUCUUAUGAAAAUGAGUGAGGGGAUUUAUGGAAGAAUAGAAUAAUUAAAGUGUUAAACAAUGGAGUCAUACAAAGGAAAAAUAUUAAGAUGUAAUUAGAUUAUCCUACAUUUUUUUUCUAACUUGUUUAAAUUAAACAUAUGUUCCUUUACAAAAUUCCUAAAACUGUACAAGAAUGAUCAAUUUCCAAUCUUGUCUGUCCCCAACGACCAAAUCGGGCAAAAGUAAUAUGAACAAAGAAGAAAAAACAGUAGAGAAUGAUAGAGAGAAAGGUUAAGUGGACUCUUUUACAGUGGAAUUUCUUAUGGACUCUUCAUCAUAUUAUUUUUUGACACAAUAUUUUAUAAUAUUGGUAUAAAAAAUGUGCCAAAAAUAUGAGAGACAGAGAGUCUAUGAAAAGUCUCCUUAGCAUUUCCCAAAAAGAAAUGUUAAGCAGACUCUCCACGAACUGUCUGACAACUUAUGUUUUUAGCAUAAAUUUUAUAAUAUUGGUACAAAAAAUGAAUGGAAAUUGAGGUGGUAGAGAGCUUAUAGAAAGUAUCAUUUUGAUAGAAUCUCCGUCUCAUAUCUCUUAGAGCAACUCUAGCGGAUGCUGGUUGCUUGGGCGACAGGGGAGGAGAAAGGGCCUGAGGGCCGGUGGGAGCAGCUCCAGCGGGGAAGGGCCCGAGUGAGGGUGGGAGCCCGAGCGAAGGGGGGGUGGGGAGUCGAAGGGCCUGUGGCCCGAGGGCUUUGCAAUUUUUUAUUUUUUUUGUGUCAGAGAGAGAGAGAGAGAGAGAGAGAGAGAGAGAGAGAGUUUUUUAUUAUUUAAACAAACAAAAAAAACUAUUAUUUUAAUUGCUUAUUGCCAGGGGGAGGGUUCUAAGGGUGGAGAUGUAAAUGACAAUUAUUGUUCAUUAAUGGUAGUUACUAUUCAUUUAAGGCAGUUACUGUUUAAUAGGGUGGAUUGAAUAGUGGAUUGCCAGGGGGAAGGGCUCCAUGAGUGGAAUUGCUCUUAGUACAAAGGAUAAUGUUGGGUAGAUUAACUUUUUAGACAAAAUUUGUAACUGAUUUGACGUGUCAUCAAUAAAAAUAAACAUGUUAAUGAAAAUAUCAAUAAACACAUUAUAUAGUUUAUAAAAUGAGAAAUGUUAAGGCAACUCUCAAUGGACUCUCUGACAUCUCAUGUUUUUUUACAAAAUGUUUUAUGAUGCUGAUAAGAAAAUUAACAUUAAAUUGUAAAGUGGCAGAGAGUCUAUGGAAAGUGUCACUUUGAGAUAGUCAUCUUAGCAUUUCUCUUAUAAAAUAUGUAUUAAAUAGAUAGUCUACAUAACAUUACUCUACUCUACUAAUAAGGGUAAUGCUAGAGAUACUAAAAAUUUAAACUAAAUGUUGUAAAUUAAAUGAUAUAGUUGUAAUGAUUGGAUUAUUAUUUAAAUGUUGAUUAACUUUAUUUGUUAUUGAUAGCACAUAAUUUAAUUUGCAAAUUUAGUUUAACAAAUUAGUCUAUUUAAUAACCCCCUAAAAAUAUAGAAAACAAUCACAUACUCAAGGCCCAACUCACAGUUAGUAACAUUUUUAUGAUUUUAUUCUGAUGAACCUGUUUAAAACCCAUAUUAAUGUUUGUUUAGGAUCAAAUUAUGAUGAUAAAUUAAGAAGAAGAGUGGUAAUUACCAGCUCUCCAUAAGGACCUUGUCCUGACUCAUGAGGCAGAGAGGAGCAAUGGAAACACCAUCCUCGUUCUUUGUCAAGAACUUGCAGACGGGGCCGAGGCCGUACAGCCGCUCGACAUUGCCGUCAGGUAGCGUGCGGAGGGAGUGAGUGAGGAUGGAGUAGCUGGCCAGGAGGCGCAGCAUGCGGUCCAGCAUGACGGGGGCGUCAGGGUUCUUGGUUGGCAGCUGCGAAGCUAAGUCUGCCGGAGAAACGAAAGCGCCAGGCCCGACUUUCGCCAUGAUCUCGAGGAGGUCGAGCUCGAGGGCUGUCUUGAGCACCAUGGGGAGAACGGGGGCGUUGGCUAGCUGCAUGGCGAAGAGGUUUGUUUCUUGGUCGGAGACUUGGGUUGGAGUCAUCUGAGUCUCUCCGGUCGAACCCAUUUUUUGGAUUUGAUGUUGGUAGAGAGAGAGAGAGAGAGAGAGAGAGAGAGAGAGAGAGAGAGAGAGAGAGAGAGAGGAGAGGAGGAGGAGGAAUGAGGGUAGAAGAGAUGGGCGUGCUAACUGGCAAUAUAUAGGGAUUUGUUUACUCACCCACCUCUUUGCCUCGUUUACUAAUCCGUAAUCAGAUUAAGAGAAAUUGAAUUAAGAAGGAAUUGAAAUGAGGUGAAAUUAGAAUCAAAUUCAUUUUAAAAACGUUUACUAAAAUUGGCUGAAAUCGGAGUAUAAAUGAUAUUGAUAUAUAUAAAUUGUUUACUAAUUCACAUGAAUCAUAAUAAAAAUUAAUAUGAUUACUAAAAUACCCUUAUUGUAAUUAAUUUAUUUUAUAUCUAAUUAUUUUUAGUAAAACUAAUAUUCUUUCAUUUUCAAUAGAGAGAAUCACUUUUUUUUUCUAGUAACUUUUAUUCUUUCAUUGGUCCUUACCAGUUACCAACAUAAAAUAAACUCCAAGAAAAAAAAUAUAUCACUCCAUGUCUUCUCUCUUCCCCAUCUCUCUGCUGCCGUGCCGACCCAUCCAUUUCUAAAUUUCCCAGGCACAUCUCUCUCUCUCUCUUCCCCUAUCUUCCCCAUCUUUCUUUGCUAACCCACCCCUUUCUAAAAUUCCCCAAGCAUCUCUCUCGUCCCUAUCUUUAUAUGCUGCCAACCCACCCCUGAUCGCGAGACCACCAUCUUUCCUUUUCUUUGGUCUUCGUCGGGAACGCGAGCCUUGUCAAGCAAGGGCUUGAAGGCAGCACUUAUGGCCACACAAUUGCAACGGCUGCAAACAUUGACAUCGUUCUCAUCUUUGGAGUUUGAGGGUAUUACUGGUAUAAAAUUUGGAUUCCUGAUGGACACCAUUUCCAGGAAUUCAAAUACCUCCUCCCACUCAAGAAUUGGACUCCGACCAUUUCAGGAGUUGAAUUCCUGAUUUUAUGCGGGUCCCAUAAUUAUUUUAAUUCCUAAUGGUUUGGUAACCGCUGGAAUGGUUGGGGAUAUGUGCAAUUCCGGUUCCCACCAUCCCAUUCCCCUUUGGUAAACAUGCCCUUGAUGUGGUACCAAGUUGUCCCGGAAAAGGAUCCUCUCCUGAGCUCAGGAUGGGGAUCUUCCUGACUAGCCCAUCUGGGCCUUUCAAAUUUAAUCCAACGAUUCCAAACAGGGGGACCUUCUAAAAGUUAUAAUAAUUGCAACCGUUGAAUUAAAUUUGAAUGGCCCAGAUGCCCUGGUCAGGAGGAUCCCCAUCCUAAGCUCAAGAGAGGAUCCUCUUCCCAAGUUGUGAACCACCGUGCAGGACCCCACAUGCCUCCCACAUGUCUUACCUUUUAAGUCUAGCUUUAUAUUGUACUCUUUAUCUGGUUUUGUUUUGUUUUAUUUCCUUUUAGGGAUCCUUAAGAGUAUUUAUACUUAUAUUUCAGACAAAAAAAAUUGUUAUAAUAUUUUUCUAUAAUUAAAAAGAAAAAUACACUUAAGAGGAGUGUAGAAUGAGAUUUUUGGUGUGCUAAUAAAAUUCUCUUAAGGUAUUGUGUUUAAUAUUUUUCCCUCUUAGUUUUGUUUUUGAAAAAUAUAUGAACAAACUUAAUGAUAAUAUACAUAUCCAAACUUUGAGGGCGAGUCAGGGCGCAAUAGAAAUGUUGGUCAUUUGUAACCGGAAAGUCGAUGGGUUUGAGUCAUGAAAACAACCUCUUUACAAAGUAAGAAUAAUAGUGCGUACGAUAAACGUUUAUCACCGCAAAGCAGAAAGUCUUGUGGGCUUGUAGGCUCUUUACAAAUCCAAAACUUUCCUAUCAAAAAGUGUAGUUUUCUUCAAUACAAUGUUAUACUCGAUGGUUUAAAUUAACACGAACGCAUUUCACACCAGUACGUCUACUGAUAUAUUGUUCUCGUGGAGUUGGAGUUGGGAGAACUGGAAAAAAAAAAUAAUGAAUUGCUCCUUUUUGAAGUCCUUGUAGCUGGUGAUAGAGCAUAGUUUACAAUAAGGUCGUUGUUAUUUAUUUAUUAUAUGUUAUGGUGUUUGAAAAGUUUUUUAAGUCCAAAGUUUUUCUCCCUAGUUGAACCGGCAAAACAAGUUACUUAAUCUAAGCAAUUGUGAAAUGAAACAAAGAGGCUGGAAUGGCAUUGGACAAACUAUAAAAGAGCAAUUUGCAUGGAACGAAUUUAUUGUUAUUGUGUUGCUUCAGUUCAAUAAUGUAAUAAAAUGUCUAAAAUAAUUUACACUAACAUUAUAUAAUAAAAAUGAAACGUCAUGUGAUAAACAUAUUCCAUAUAAAUCCUUACAGUGUUCUUGAUCAAGCAUCAGAUUUUCGUCAAGCUCAAAAGAUAAUUUACUAAAUUGAGAUGAUGCCAUUGCCAUCGUUUGUGUUAUCCUGACUAAUCCAUGAAAGGGAUCGGUUCUCUUGGCAAUUUACAAAUAGCAAACAAAAAAUAAAAAAUAAAAUAUGUGACAAUUAUUGUAGUCCUAUUAGAUUUGAAUGUGAUUGUGUAAAUCCUAGUGUAUCUAGGGAUAUCUUGAAAUAUUCUGUAGGGUUAUAUAUUAUCCUGUUAGAGUUGUAAUCCUAUUGGGGUAAGGAAUUUACAUUCCCUACUACUAUAAAUAAAGACACAAUAGGGUGGAAUAUAACACACCUCACAAUUACACAUCUCUCUUUUCUCUUUCUAUGCCGCACUCUCUCUUUCUAGCCUCCAUAACUUUUCAAUAAAUUAUGCCUACAACACGUUAUCAGCACACUCUUGACGCUAAGCUUUUUCUUGAAUUGAUCUACAUGCUAUUGAUUUAAUUUUUCUUUGGUGUACGUGAUACAACGGAUUGGAGAUGCAAUUCAAGCCCGGCUUUCGCCAUGAUCUUGAGGAGGUCGAGCUCGAGCUCGAGGGCUGCCUUGAGCACCAUGGGGGGAACGGUGGCGGAGGCUAGCAGCAUGGCAAAGAGGUUGGUUUCUUCGUUGGAGACUUGGUUGGAGUCAUCUGAGUCUCUCCGAUCGAACCCAUUUGUUCGAUUUGGUGUUGGUGGGGAGAGAGAGAGGAGAGGAGAGGAGGACUGAAAGUGGAAGAGAUGGUUGUAAUAAUGGGUGUACUAACCGGCAAUAUAUAGGGAUUUGUUUGCUCACCCAAAACCAUUGAGGUGGUAUCAAUGUUUUGUAAUGUUGUUACAAAAAUUGAUUUUAAAUUAUCGAGAGUUCACAAGAGUCCUACUGUUCUAAGUUCUUUUAGCAUUCAUGGAUACGAGAAAUGUAUGAUUUUGUCCCUUGUAAUAUCGUUUUUAAAAAAGAAAUAUAAACAAAUUUAAUGAUAAUUUACAAAUCCAAAAUUUCUUAUAAAAAAAAUUGAAGCUUUUCUUCAAUACAAGGUUAUACUCGAUAGUUUAAAUUAACACAAACGCAUUUCACAUGGUUCGACUAAUAUAUUGUUCUCUGUGUACGUCACCACUUCCAUUACCUAUUAAAGUAAGAAGGAAUACAACAAAAUGUCAACCUUUCAAACCAAUGGCGAACGAACUAAGAAAAGUCUCUCUGCCGAAUACAACAUGACAAUUAUGUAAUGAAGCCCUUGUAGCAGGUGAUGGAGUCCUUGUUAUUUGUUUAGUUAUUCAUUAUUUAGAUGGUGUUUGAAAAGAUUUCUCUUAGUUGAUCCGGCAAAACAAGUUAAAUUAUGUAACAAAAAAAUAGUACUCUUAGGGGGCGUUUGUUGCGCCGGACUGUCUCGGACUGGACUAGCUGCAGGGACUAAGCUGGACUGGCUUAGACUAGACUAAGCUGGACUAACUUAGUGAAGCGUUUGGUGCAGUGUCGGACUAAGAAGCAGGAUAAUAAAAACAGUACUGUUCAUCAGAUUUGUGUUUGCUUACACUAGAACUACAAAUUUUUGCCAUUGUGUAAUAAAGUAAUGCUACAAAUGUCAUGAGAAGAUACUUGUGUAAUAGAGUAAUCCUAAACUUUAUGCAAUAAAAUCGAACAUUAACUAAUGAUAGUUUUCUUGGAUUAUAGAGUUUAAGAAAACGGAACUCAUAUUAGAUAUUUGUCUGAAGCAAGUAAAAUUGCCAUAGAAAAUGUCACUUAAGUUCUUCACGUGCAUGAUAUAUGGUGUUCUGGUUCUCUGUUGGGUGAAGAUGACUAGGAUCCAAUGGUGGUAGGGUUUUGAAGGAAGGGGAAACGUGAGUACUAAUACUUUGGUUUCAAGAAUCCUCCAAGUGUACCCAACAAACCUUGCUCAAAAGAAAAGAAAAUAGAAAAGCAUGGUAAUUAAACAGGCUAUAAGGGGCCGUCUCUUUUUCCAUGUGGCAUAAUUCAUAGCUGACUAGAUUAACAAGCAAGAGCAAGUACAUAAGAAGAUCUCCAUAAUUUACAAAAUACCAGUGAACUAUAGUAUACCAUUCAAAAGUAGAUCUCCAUAAUUUACAAACUCGUAGUUAACAUUAGCCAAAAUACUUCAUAGUGGAAAGCUAAGUUAUAAGUCAUAACCUAAGAUUGUACGAUUAAUAAAAUACAUUCAUAUCAAAAGACACCACAUAAUAUACUCAUCCGCUUGCUUUGUCGCUUAAAAGCCUUUGGACAAACACUUUCUUGAGUUCCGGUUUGAUUGCCCUGAACACUCCCACAUUUUUUGGUUUAUCCAAAAUAAGAGACAAUGCAUCAAUUUGAUCCAUAGGAGAAAGACCCAUUUCUUCAAGUUCGUUAGCUAUGUCACUAUGAUCUGCAGUACCUUGAACUAAAGCUUCAGUUACCAUUUGCAUCCUCUUCCCACUUUCAACAUAAAAUUCUUUCAGUCCACUGAUAAUUGCCUCGGUUCCAUCACUUGAACUUCCCACACCUCUUUUCCUCUUUCGUUGGCUAUUUUCAGAUGGGAUGCUUUGUUGGCUUUGUUCGUUCAUUGAAGAAACAAAAUUUUCACCUCCAAUAUCACUUGCACCAACUCACACUCACACUCACACACAAACACAGUCACACACACACACACACACGGGGACAGAAUGCAACACACUCUUACCCUCACACACACACUCCGUUUUUAUACUAACACACACACACACACUCACACACACAAACACAGUCACACACACACACACACUCACACUCACACACACACACUCUCACACUCACACUUACACUCACACUCACACACAAACACAGUCACACACACACACACACGGGGACAAAGUGCAACACACUCUUACCCUCACACACACACUCUGUUUUUAUACUCACACACACACACACACACACACACACACACACACACACACACACACACACACACACACACACACACAAACACAGUCACACACACACACACACACACACGGACAGAGUGCAACACACUCAUACACUCACACUCACACCCACACAGGUUACACACACACAAACACACUCACACACACACACACUCACAUACACACACAUACACGGACAGAUUACACACACACACUCACACACACAUUUUACACACACAACUCACACACACAUAUUUUAUACACACAGGUUACACACACAUACACACAAACACAGAUUACACACACACACACACGGACAGAUUACACACACAUUUUACACACACAACUCACACACAGGUUACACACACAACUCACACACACACACACACAGAUUACACAGGUUACACACAGAUUACACACACACACACGGAUAGAUUACACACACAUUUUACACACACAACUCACACACAGGUUACACACACAACUCACACACACACACACACAGAUUACAGAGAUUACACACACACACACACACACACAAACACACUCACACACACACAAACACACAGACAAAUUACACACAGUACACACAAACACACACACAGAGAGCACACACCUGAGACUAAUCUCAAUUUCAUCUUAUGAAAACCCCAAAUUCUAAUCUCAAUUUCACCUAAAUAUCAAAACCCUAAUUUGUUCAAUUGCAAAUCCACUUGUACAUUAUGAAUUUCUCAAACCCAAAACAACAAAAUCAAAUAAACCUCAGUUAAUAUCACAAACAAAUCCACACAAAUCGACGAAAAAAAUCGAAGAUUCGAAGCUUACCAACUUGAGGCAGAUGACAGUGACCAGAUGCUGUAAGGACGACGAUGAGCGUGAGAACGAUGUGGGAGCACGGCAAGGACGACGACGAGGGCAGACGCAGAGAUGAGGACGAUGUGGGAUGUGGGAUGUGGGAUGUGGGAAGACGCAGAAAAUCUGUCGAUGGUUUCUCUGGCUUACGAGUCCGCCCGAAAUUGGGAUCCCUCGUGAAGAACGGCUAAGCCCCCCCCUUAGUCCUAGCGAAUCCCACCUAAGCUCAUUAAAGCUAAUCCCGGUGCCCACCAAACACCGGACUAUAGUCUAGUCCAGUCCAGUCCCAGCGAAUCCUGUCAAAUAAACGUGCCCUUAUAAUCUAGUUAUACUAUUAUUUGUAUCAUCUUUCUAAUAGAGAUUGAGCCUACAUGAGUUGACGGGUUAGAGAUAUGGUACAAAUGAUGAUACAAGUAGGUGAUAAGUGUAGCAUUACUCGUAUGUAAACACCAUUCACUUAUGCAUUCUAAGUUGUUGGAUGGAGAAGCGGUUAAGAUAACUUCAAAUUAUUAAGGAUAUUGUCAUUUUUAUUGUGAUAAUUAUCUAUUAACAAUUUAUUGAAAUUAUCCUGACAUUUGCCUAUGCAAGAUAAAGAAUUUUAACAAAAAAAUUUUGGUAUUGUUCAAUUUAACGAAAAACCAUAUUUUUACAGUAAAAAGUCAAUCCUGGUAAUAUUCACAUUACUCUUUAUUUUGUCUUUAUCGUUAAAACGCAAAGUUUUCAAAUCGUUUUUAUUAGUUUUCCUUUAAAAAAAAAAAAAAGUGGAGGAGCUGUGAGUUGAUAUUAGCAUGUGCUCUUAUUCCAUAAUCCGUGUCACAUCAAAUUAAAUAGUUCUAGGAAAAUUCACAUUUCAAUGAUCCAGAGAAAAGGUUGAACAUUUCUAGACAUCAAAUAUUACUAUAUAUUAAUGUUAAUGGGUGCAUUUUUGCUCGUGACUAUCAAGUGGUAGUAAUGUUCAUCACUUUAUUUAUUAGCAUUGGAAGAGUCUCACUUUUGAUAUUUGUGUCUAUCCACCACACAAAUUUCGAAAUUUAAACUUAUCUAAUAGUGAUAAAUAAGAUGUAGAACAUGAUUAUCACUUGAGGGUGGUGGUAAACAAAAAUAUUCUCUAAUGUUAAUAGUUGCUCCAGUGAAUUACUCAAAACAGUGUGCACCUGCCAGUGUUGAAAAUUGAUAUGCAAACUCCAUUAAGCAUUAGGUAGGUGCACCAGUGGUAUUAUAUGGGGUAUGAUUUUCUUCCCUCCUCUCACACAUUGCUUUUUGUCUUAUUGUCCCUCUAAAAAAAUGAAUAUAAGAUGUUGACGUGGCUUAACCGUGAUCAUUCAAAUAUGAGGGAAGGGAAGGGGAGAGAUGUUAGGAGGGGAGAGAAUCUUCCUCCGUAUUAUAUAUUGGCUAGGGUUUGAGAAAUCGAAGGUGAUAACGUCACCGAUCACAUAUCAUCUAAUAUUUUGGUACAAGAAUUCUCUCCCCUUCUCUUUCCAUCUCAUUCCAUCAUCUCCUCUCACAUUCUCUAUUUUGUUUUUCUCAUUCUAUAAAAAAUUAAUAUAAGAUACUGACGUAACUUAACUAUAACCAUUCAGAUAAAAGAUGAUGGAAGGGAAUGAAAAAAAAAAGAGCCGAAAAUCCUACUUCAAUAUUUUGAACAUGCAGACGGCCCGAUCAGAUGCAGCUAGUGGACCCUAGUCUUUUUUUGCAAAGUGGAAUGUUUUGAAAAACCAUACACACGCCAUCAAUUUUAUUAACUAUAAUCUUAUUUGUUGAGAGUUGAUUACUUAAGGAAAAAAAUAGCAUUUUGGAUCUUUGACUUCAGUAGCUUCAUUCUUCUGUCCUAAAGACCAUGCUCUGAUAAGCCCAGCAAAAACUCUCACAGAGAAUGGACACAAAAGUAAACGUACUGACGUACUCUAAAAUAGAGGAGGACUCUACAAUUGUACCUGGAUCAUGCAUGUUUUAGAUAAUCUAUAACAAUUCGGCCAAUUUUGUGCGUCCAGAUACCAUUGCUUGUUAUUUAUUUAUUGCCUAUCUGAUUAUGACUCCUUGUGGCAGGUAGGAAGGCUUCUGUAAUUUGGUUUAUUUAAUAUCUUGAUCAUAAGACCAGUUUGAAUGAACAUCACGAAUAACAAUUUCACAGCAACGUCAUGAAAAUAAUAUGAAUGUCAUUUUAUUAUUCCCUUUUUGCCAAUUUUUCUGUUUUAGGAGAGCUUGUGUAUGAGCGAUCGUAUGUCAAACUCUAUUGACAGGUAAGCUUGGGUGACGAGAAAUACAUAAGGUCCUGAUUUUGUGUUUCGUGGCAGGACUUACACAUGAUCAGUCUGUCAUACAUCAGAUUUUCUCAUGUUUUAGACCCCAUUGGAUGGGUAUGAAUCCAAAUUUAUGACAUACAAGCAACAUAAAAUCACUUUAUUAUUACUAUUUUUUUGUAAAUAUGAAAAUCUACUUACGGUGAAAAAUCCAUAUGCGAUCACCUUCCCAUUGUAGGGGAGCGCGGUAUAGCAGUUCUUCAAAAUUUCAAACAAUGCUCGUCACUCCAUUCGUGACAUAUCCACUGUGAGAUUGCGUAUGCAAUUUGAUAUUAGUUUCAAAUAUAUUAAGAAACUAAGCUAUUACAAUUGUUGAGAAUGAUUCCCGCAUUGAUGGGAGGAUGAACCUUACAUGGGCCUAUAAGAGGUUGUGCUGCUCUCUAUAUUAUCAAUUGGUCUCUAUAUUAUCAAUUGGUUUUCAGUGGAACCUCAACUUUUUUCAUGGUAUCAGAGUAAGUUGUCCACACGUGAAGGGACGUGUUGAGAAUGAGUCUCACAUGUGAGGGGAGUAUUGAGAAUGAGUCUCACACGUGAGGAGAGUAUUGUGAAUGAGUCUUAGGAGUAUUGAGAAUGAGUCAUUGAUGGUUGAAUGUUCCACUAUGAGGGGAUUGAGAAUGAGUCAUGGUUGAAUGUUCCAGUAUGAGGGGAGUAUUGAGAAUGAGUCAUUGAUGGUUGAAUGUUCCACUAAGUAGAUAGAUGUUGAAUGUUCCACUAAAUAUAUUAUCAUCACUACUAUAAGAUAUAUUUGUUGUCUUGACAUGAACGGUGGAGGUUGCAUCAAAGGGUUUUAAAUUUAACUUUUUGAGUAACGUGAAACAUUUAUUAUCCCAGACAACACUACGUGCUGGAAUCCUUCAUCCACAAACUAAGCUCUUACAAGUGUUGAGAAUGAAUCCCGCAUUGAUAGAAUGAUAAACCUUACAUGAGCCUAUAAGAGGUUGGGCUACUCCCUAUAUUGCCAAUUGAUUUUUCAGUGGAACUUUAACUUUCUUUAUGGUAUCAUAGUAAGUUAUCCACACGUGAAAGAACGUGUUGGUAUUCAGAAUGAGUCAUUGAUGGUUGAAUGUUCCACUAAACACAUUACCAUCACUACUAUAAGAUAUAUUUGUUGUCUUGACAUGAACGGUUUAUCAAAGGGUUUUAAAUUUAACUAUUUGAGUAACGUGCAACAUUUAUUCUCCCAGACAACACUAUGUGCUGGAAUCCUUCAUCCACCAUUAUCGUUUGUAAUUUGGUGGCCGAAGCUUCUAACAAAACAAAAUACAAAGAUGUCCAUACCCUUAACAGGUUUAUGGGGAAUGGAUAUCUAAGGUUAUAGUAUCGUUCUCUUUCAUGAUAUAUGCAGUAAUUUUUUUGAAAGCAAUACUCUAUAAUGGUGAAUAAUCUCUUUAAAGUCAUACAAAAUUCAUAUCCCAUGUAUAACCAGUUCUUUAUAUUGUAAUAAGUUAUAAUUUUUCUUGAUCUCAUUUUAAGGAAAGGCGUCUCUGCAUAGUUAUAAAUAAUUGUCAAUCAAUACAAAAAUAUGCAAAAAUAUAAAAUAAUUGGGGCCUAAAAAUCCUAUUUAGGAAAUACAUAAUAAAAUGAUCGUGGGUCAUGUAUGUUCUUGAACUGAAAGGUUCGAACCUUCGAAUAGCGCAGCAUUCAUUAAGGAUAAAUAAGUUAAUAAAUAAUAUUUCAGGUAUGUAAUGUAAUAAACUCCGUAUUGUAACAUGUUUUAAUUUUUAGGGUAAAUUAAACUUUAUCACCUUAGGUUUGAGGUCUAUUACAAUCUCAUACAACAUCUUCAAAACAUUUCAUUUUCAUACCUCAAAUACUAUUUUAUUUUAAUAUAAUACAUCCAUUACAUUUUCCAUUCAUUGAUUCGUUAAAAGUUGACGUAGCUGUCAUAUUUAUACCACGUGGCUGUCAAAUUUGUACUACGUAGCAAAAAAAUUAUUUUUUAUACAUUAAAAUAUUAUAAUAAUUUACUCUAUUAAAAAAAAAAAAAAAAAACUGAAAACCCAAAAACCCAUUGCGCCGACCACCUCCUUUCCUCCACUCUCUUCACCUACCCCUCAUCUUCAACCUCUUCUUUCCUCCCUCCCUCCUACAAACACACUCUCCAAAUCCUUACAAAUACCCAUACACCUUGAAGCAAAACCCAGCAACUCCAAAGCCCUCGCUGCAAAGCUCUCUCUCCCUCCCACCAUUUGUGAUGAGGGGUGUGCGCUGUUUCAGACCACCAGAAGUCGGUGAGGAUGUCAUCCCCGACCCAAAAUUGCAGUGAGAAAUGGAGAGAUAAAGGAGAAGGGAGGAAGGGAGAGAGGGUUUGAGGUUCAACGAUCAGGGGUUUAGCCGUCUAGGUUGGGUCCUGGGUUGCGGAAAGCAUGAGGGAGACGAUGAAGCCCUUGAUCUGGUCCUUCUCGGCAUCAGGGAUGGGGGUCUCGCCGGAAGAGGAGUUAGGAGCCCAGCGCGUCUUGAGGUGGUUUUUGAAGUUGAUGCAAGCGGCCUGCCGGAUUUGGUGAUCGGCGGUCCUCUCAGGGACGGUGAGGUCGUGAGUGAGGUGGAGGGAUGCCACAGAGAGUGAAGCCUGGGCGCGGAGGUGAGGCUCCGGGAACGGAUAGAGAGUGUGGAGGAAACACCGAGGAAAGGGCUGAAGGUGGCGAUGGUGUGACGGGAGGGAGGUGGGUCGGGUUCUGGGUUUUCAGUUUUUUAUUUUUUAUUUUUUUAUUAUUUUUAAAUAGAGUAAAUUAUUAUAAUAUUUUUAAGGUAUAAAAAAUUAUUUUUUUAAUGACACAAAUUUGGAAAUGACGUCAUUAAUGGAUGGAAAAUAUAAUGAAUGUAUUAUAUUGAAAUAAACUAGUACUUAAGGCAUGAAAAUAAAAUGUUUUGAAAAUAUUAUAUGAGGUUGUAAUAGAUCUCAAACCUGAUAAAUUGUAAUUUACCUUAAUUUUUAUUUGUCUCAUCUUGAGGAAUCACCACACAUCCACGUAGUUUAAAGGCGUCUUUCAAUAUGGGUCCAAUUUUAUAAGGUUAUUAUGAAAGGAGUAAUUACGUCGUCCAAGGUAGGGCCUAGCAAGUAUAAUAUAUCUCCACGUCAGUUAUUUAGAUGUCCAUAAUUUUCAAACGAAUUACAGCACUUGUCACUGUAGUUUUUGAAAUGAAUUUGCCAGAUUCCGACGAUUUUGAGAGCGCUGAGUUUAUCUCGUGGAUUCAAUGAUUUUGAAAAAAAAAAUAUUCCCGAUUCCUGCUUGUAUAAUUCAAAUUCGAAUUAUGAGAUGGAUAAAUAUGAUUCCUGCAAACAAUCAAUGCAGGCAGGAGUUUGGGUUUUGAAGGAUAUUCAUACCUGACAAACUGGCAUGGUAAUAUGCACCUGUUUUAUCUGUUCAUCCUUUGUUGUUAGUUGCUUUUGUUGUCUACCUAUAUGAGUGGAAGGAAACCAUAAUUUUCCAAUUAUGGUGGAAGUAUAGAUUAUACAUGCACGUGAUUUGAGACAUUUUUUUAGGUGAAAUUGGGUUAUAAUACUGAUAAAUGUUGUCGUCUGAAAUCUUGUACGACACUGCCACUGAUAAUUCAUAAUUUUUAUUUAUGCCCAAGUUGUCGUUUGGACAUUGAUAAUUCAUAAUUUCUAAGGAAAACUAAUGAAAAUGGUUUGAAAAUUUUGAGUUUUAAUGAUAAUGACAAAAUAAAGGGUAAAGUAAAUAGUACUAGGUUUGACUUUUUAGUGUAAAAAUGUGGUUUUUCGUUAAAGUGAACAGUACCGUGGACUUUUCGUUAAAACUCUCUAAUUUCUAAUUAUGGCAUGGUCCUCCUUUUCAUUUUAAACGAAGUGGUGAUUGUGUCGAGAGCGUAAGGGCGAUUUGGUACUGUUUUGCCUUGAAAAAAAAAUAUUUUUGUUAUAUUGUGAGAAUAAAAUUUAUUUUUUCUGUUUCAAUUUUUUAAUUUUUUUUAUCUAAAAUUAUGAAAAUAAAUUAUUUUUAAAUGUUUAACAAAUUUUUUUUUACACUUACUUUUUAUAAAAUACAGUACCAAACCAAACCAGUACUAAACGUGACUGUUUAUCCGAAUCACUAGACGAAAAGAGAUUAAAAAAAAACUCAAAAUCCUGGGUGAGAGAAAAUGAGCGAAAUCGGAAUCGGUGUCAAAGCGAUUAAUCUAUCGUCGACGACGCCGUCGCGCGAGAAGAAGGGAGUGACAGCCGAGAAAACUCCCCAGAAAGCUUUGUCGUCUUCUUCCGCGGAGGACGAGGACGGGAGUCCAAUCAGGCACAUUGCCUGUGUCAAAAACAAGGUCGAUGUCAAACACUUUGAGGGCGUCGAGGACUGCUUCAUCUUGGAUUUCGACCCCUUUGAGCCGGUGCAGUUUUCCAAGUUGUCCGUGUCGGAUAAUGGUGGUGGUGGUGGUGGCGGUUCUCCCGAUAUCGCUGUUGUUGCUGAGAAAGGACAGGUUUUGAUUUUUAUCGUUGACCCUUUUAAUUUUUUGUGUUAAUUUUCUUUCUUCUGUUUGGUUGCUGGAAAAUGCAGGUGAAGAAUUGAAUUUGAAAUCAUAACCCCAUGUUACAUAUGACCCCCUUCUAGGGUUUUGCGAAAGAAAGGAAAUUUUUAAUCAAUUUUCUUUCUUUGUUGUUGUGUUUGGUUGCUGGGAAAAUGCAGGUGAACAAAAUGAAUUAGAAAUUGUAACGCCAUUGUGAUAUUUUGCCUAUGAACCUUCAGGUGUUUGACCUCAAAAGUUUUUUAAAUUUAUAAGAAACUUUUCUGCUUAUCUGUUCAUAUUCCAAUUUUUGAGCUAAUUUAAUGUUGAAUGUCUGAUGGCUCGUGUGGAUUUGAAUUGAUGCUGUGUAGGUUGCUUGUAGAGACUAUCCACAUUCAAGACACCUCUGCCUGAAAUUUCCUUUCGAGACGACACCCCAUGAGAGCUACUGUGAGCUGGUAACAGAGUUUUACAACUUCAAAUAUUUGCAUCUUGUGAAUGUAUCCCCGAUUCCCUAUCUAUAUUGUCUAACUUGGCAUCUCAAAAGUGAACUCACUGAUUGUAUGUAGUGCUACUGCUAUGUUUGCGAUUCUUCCGCUCCAUGCGGGUUGUGGAAACUAUCACAUUGCCACGCCGCUGCGCACAUCAGUGACUGGAAGUGCAAAAGGAUGAUGAAACGGCAAGCCACGGUGAAGAAAUGAACAAAGCUCCUGUUGUUUAGCCGUAUUGCGGAUAGCGGUGUAUGAAAAAUACCAGAAAAGUGAACUGUUGUUUUACUAUUAGGCGGUCAAGUUCAUGUAAUUUUGUUCAUAGGGAGGGUACUUGAAAUGGCUUUUGUUCUGACUCGAAGAGAUGUAGUUACUAAUGAACUUACGAUGUUGGUAGAAAUGGAAUCAAAUUUGAUUAGUUCAAUUCGAAUUGAAUUGAAUUGAAUCUGAUUGUUGUGAAGAAAUCUCACUCGCAAUCAAUUCUAUUAAUUAACUUUAAUUCUAUCUGUUGAGAGAGUUGAUUACUUAGGUAAAAAAAAUUGCGCUAGAGCAUUGAUUUUUGGUUAUAAGUAUCAAAUUGUGUAUACAAACUCGAAUUCUAUCCAAUGUUUGCAAGACACCCUAAAACAAUCAACCAUAGUGAUAAGUUCAAUCAAAGGUAAAGAAAAUUGAAGAAAUGAGAUUUUGUCAUCGAGUAGAUUCUUUAAGCAAAUCCACAUAAUAAUGAUCAUAUUAUACCUUAAAAUUGAAACCGUAAAAAAUAGUGAUUCUUUGAUGAAUAUCAACCAUUCCCAUAAAUGAGAUCAAAGUUAAAUAAUAUUGAUUGUGACUGAGAUUUUCUCAAAAUGCAAGUUCUUUCACUAAGAAAAAAACAUUGCAUAGAGAGAAUCUCAAAUUGUCAAUUUGCACGUGUAAUUGUAAAAUCAAAAUUAUUGGUUGGUGCAGGCUCUAAGUAAUGUUUAGUGUCGAGCCGUUACCAAUACUGUUAGAGCGAGGCUCACAGUAGCUUCAUUCAUCUGCCCACAAGAAGAUACUCUCAUACGCCCACAAAAAAACUCUCACAGACACAUGCUUUGUCCGUCGUACACCAGGUUUUUUCAUGUUUUCCACCCCAUUGCGAGCGUAUGAAUCCAAAUUUAUAACUUACAACGAACAUAAAAUCACUUUCUUAUUACUUUUUUAUUUUUUAUUUGUAACAUAUAAACGUAGUUAUGGUGAAAAUAUGCGACCUCCAUAUCAAAAUAAAAGCAAUAUGAAUGCAGACGGCAGCAUACCACUGCCAAAGUUAUACUCAAAUCUUCUUAAGAAACUCAAUGGCAUAGAUGUGGAAAGCAGAGCAGAUGACGCGGAAGCCUUUGAAUCCAGAUCCCUUAGCCAAGGCCUCAAACUCCUUCUCCGUCCGCUCUUUUCCUCCGGGGUUGUAGCCUAACAUGAUCACGUCGAGAUUGACAACUACCUGGGUGGCAAGGCUGCUGUCGGGAGCUACUGGAAGAAUGCACUCAGCAAGAAUCACCUUCCCAUUGUCAGGGAGCGCGGUAUAACAGUUCUUCAAAAAUUUCAAGCAAUGAUCGUCACUCCAGUCGUGACAUAUCGACUGCAAGAUUGCAUACAUGAUUUGAGAGUAGUUCCAAAUUAUUAUGCAACUAAGCUCUUAUAAGAAAUUGAUAUUACCACUACAAAAUAGUCAUCGACUCUCUUUUUGAUAAAUAAUAACUAACCUUCAUGAAAAUUGCAUCUCCCUUUGGAACACUUGCAAACAUGUCUCCUCCAACAUGCUCCACACCUACAUCCAACAUCCAUAGAUCUCAUAUUCAUUAGGAAAAAUGAUAAAUAGUACAAACAUAAGCAAUAUUAGAGGAGGACAAAUCGAACUUGAGAGAGGUUGAGGUAGAGGUAAAUGCUUUUUAAGUAAUUGUACUACAAGCAUUAUCAGAAAUGAAGAACAUACCAAGAAAUUGAGGAGCAUCUUCUAUGACAUGAGGCAAGUCGAAGUUGAUACCCUUAAUCGAGGGGUACUUAGAAACGAUCAUGUUAACAACAGCACCAGUGCCACCGCCAACAUCUACGACGGAUGUAAGGCCCUCAAAGCCCUUGUAGGUCUCUAGAAGUUUUUUCAUGGUAAUGGUAGAUUGUGCAGCCAUUCCCCUGUUGAAGACCUUGUUGAAUCUAGGGUCAGUGCCAUGGUACUCAAAAGCACUCAUUCCAUAGGCCUUGUUGAAUGGAAUUCCCCCUUCAAGAACUGCAUCUUUCAAGUGGUACCUGCACAAACCCAAAACAAGCAUACAUGUCACUCUCACAACCAAAAGCAUUUAGCAUGUGUAAAAUAACGAAACAACACGUCGUUUGAUCAGUCAUAUGGGCAUGUCUCAGGACUUGGCUUCUCUGCCCUUCCAGUUCCCAUAUACUCUCAUAUUCUCCUAUUUGUGCGGUCACGGUUAAACCACGUCAAUAUUUUAUAUCACUAUUGCUUUUUUUCUUAUUAUUUUUAUAAAAAAUCAAUAUAAAAUGUUGACGUGACUUAACCGUGACCGCACAAAAUAGGAGGGGAUAAAAGUGUAUGAGAACUAGGAGGGCAGAGAAGCCGGGUCCCAUGGCUCAUAUGUGACCUUGGCCAAGCCACCUACCACGUGUUUCAAUGCCCGCAUAACUCACAAGCAUCAAAUAAUAAGGAAUUGUUGACAUAAUUCUUGUAUUGAUGUGGAUUACGCUAUUUAGCAAGGCAGUACCUCUUAUGUUCGAGUAUACAGUUUUAUUCCGACGUUCUUAUGAAAAUGAUGGAGGGGAUUUAAAUCACCUCUAGCAAAUUAACCUAAGUCACAUUGAAGCUUUAUGGAAGAAUAGAAUAAUUAAAGUGUUAAACAAUGGAGUCAUACCAAGGAAAAAAUGUUAAGAUGUAACUAGAUUAUCCUACAUUUUUUUCUAACUUGUUUAAAUUAAACAUAUGUUCCUUUACAAAAUUCCUCAAACUGUACAAGAAUGAUGAAUUUCCAGUCUUGUCUGUCCCCAACGACCAAAUCGGGCAAAAGUAGUAUGAACUAAGAAGAAAAUAGUAGAGAAUGAUAAAGAGAAUGGUUAAGUAGACUCUUUCACAGUGGAAUUUCUUACAGACUCUUUGUCAUAUUAUUUUUUGACACAAUAUUUUAUAAUAUUUGUAUCAAAAAUGUACCAAAAAUAUGAGAGACGGAGAGUCUGUGAAAAGUCUCCUCAGCAUUUCCCAAAAAGAAAUGUUAAGCAGACUGUCUAACAACUUAUGUUUUUAGCAUAAAUUUUAUAAUAUUGGUACGAAAAAUGAAUUGAAAUUGAGAUGGUAGAGAGUUUAUAGAAAGUAUCAUUUUGAUAGAAUCUCCAUAUCAUAUCUCUUAGUACAAAGGAUAAUGUUGGGUAGAUUAACUUUUUAGACAAAAUUUGUAACCGAUUUGAUGUGUCGCCAAUAAAAAUAAACAUGUUAAUCAAAAUGUCAAUAAACACAUUAUAUAGUUUAUAAAAUGAGAAAUGUUAGGGCAACUCUCAAUGGACUCUCUGACACCUCAUGUUUUUGACAAAAUAUUUGAUAAGAAAAUUAACGUUAAACUGUAAAGUGGCAGAGAGUCUAUGGAAAGUGUCACUUUGAGAGAGUCAUCUUAGCAUUUAUCUUAUAAAAUAUAUAUUAAAUAGAUAGUCUCCAAAACAUUACUCUACUAUACUAACAAGGGUAAUGCUAGAUAAACUAAUUUUUAAACUAAUGUUGUAAAUUAAAUGAUAUAGUUGUGAUGAUUGGAUUAUUACUUAAAUGUUGAUUAACAUUAUUAUUUAUUGAUAGCACAUAAUUUAAUUUGCAAAUUUAGUUUAACAAAUUAGUCUACUUAAUAACCCCCUAAAAAUAUAGAAAACAAUCACAUACUCAAGGCCCAACUCACAGUUAGUAACUUUUUUAUGAUUUUAUUCUGAUGAACCUGUUUAAAACCCAUUAUUAAUGUUUGUUUAGGAUCAAAUUAUGAUGAUAAAUUAAGAAGAAGAGUGGUAAUUACCAGCUCUCCAUAAGGACCUUGUCCUGACUCAUGAGGCAGAGAGGAGCAAUGGAAACACCAUCCUCGUUCUUUGUCAAGAACUUGCAGACGGGGCCGAGGCCGUACAGCCGCUCGACAUUGCCGUCGGGCAGCGUGCGGAGGGAGUAAGUGAGGAUGGAGUAGCUGGCCAGGAGGCGCAGCAUGCGGUCCAGCAUGACGGGGGCGUCAGGGUUCUUGGUUGGCAGCUGCGAAGAUAAGUCCGCCGAAGAAACGAAAGCGCCCGGCCCGGCUUUCACCAUGAUCUCGAGGAGGUCGAGCUCGAGGGCUGUCUUGAGCACCAUGGGGAGAACGGGGGCGUUGGCUAGCUGCAUGGCGAAGAGGUUUGUUUCUUUGUCGGUGACUUGGGUUGGAGGCAUCUGAGUCUCUCCGGUCGAACCCAUUUUUUGGAUUUGGUGUUGGUAGAGAGAGAGAGAGAGAGAGAGAGAGAGAGAGAGAGAGAGAGGAGGAGGAGAGGAGGAGGAGGAAUGAGGGUAGAAGAGAUGGGUGUGCUAACUGGCAAUAUAUAGGGAUUUGUUUACUAACACACCUCCUUGCCUUAUUUACUAAUUCGUAAUCAAAUUGAGAUGAACUGAAUUGAGAAUGAAUUAGAUGAAGUGAAAUUAGAAUCAAAUUCAUAUUAAAGACGUUUACUAAAAUUGGCUAGAAUAUGAGUUUAAAUGGUAUUGAUAUAUAUAAACGGUUUACCAAUUCACAUGAAUCAGAAUAAAAAUUAAUAUGAUUACUAAAAUACCCCUAUUGUAAUUAAUUUAUUUUAUAUCUAAUUAUUUUUAGUAAAACUAAUAUUCUUUCAUUUUUCAGUAGAGAGAAUAACCAUUUUUUUUUACUUUCUAGUAACUUUUAUUCUUUCAUUGGUCCUUACCACUCAAGAAUUGGACUCCGACCCUUUCAGGAGUUGAAUUCCUGAUUUAUGCAGGUCCCACAAUUAUUUUAAUUCCUGAUGGUUUGGUAACCGUUGGAAUGGUUGGGGAUAUGUGCAAUUCUGGUUCCCACCAUCCCAUUCCCCCUUGGUAAACAUGCCCUUGAUGUGGUACCAAGUUGUGCCGGAUGAGGAUCCUCUCCUGAGCUCAGGAUGGGGAUCCUCUUGACCAACCCAUCUGGACCGUUCAAAUUUAAUCUAACUGUUCCAAACAGGGGGCCCCUCUAAAAGUUAUAAUAAUUGCAACCGUUGGAUUACAUUUGAACGGCCUAGAUUGGCUAGUCAAGAGGAUCCCCAUCUUGAGCUCAAGAGAUGCUCUUCUUCCCAUGUUGUCGACCACCAUGCAGGACCCCACAUGCCUCCCACAGGUCUUACCUUUUAAGUCUAGCUUUAUAUUGUACUCUUUAUCUGGUUGUUUUGUUUUAUUUCCUUUUAGGGAUCCUUAAGAGUAUUUAUACUUAUAUUUAAGAUAAAAAAAUUGUUAUAAUAUUUUUCGAUAAUUAAAAAGAAAAAUACACUUUAGAGGAGUGUAGAUUGAGAUUUUUAGAGUGCUAAUAAAAAUUCUCUUAAGGUAAUGUGUUUAAUAUUUUUCCCUCUCAGUUUUGUUUUUUAAAAAUAUAUGAACAAAGUUAACAAUAAUUUACAUAUCCAAACUUUGAGGGCGAGCCAGGGUGCAAUAGAAAUGUUGGUCCUUUGUAACCGGAAAGUCAUGGGUUCGAGUCGUGAAAACAACAUCUUUGCAACGUAAGAAUAAUAGUGCGUACGAUAAACGUUUAUCACUGCAAAGCAAAAAGUCUUGUUGGCUUGUAGGCCCUUUACAAAUCCAAAACUUUCCUAUCAAAACGUGUAGUUUUCUUCAAUACAAUGUUAUACUCGAUGGUUUAAAAAGUUUACAAUAAGGUCGUUGUUAUUUAUUUAUUAUAUGUUAUGGUGUUUGAAAAGUUUUUAAGUCCAAAGUUUUUCUCCCUUGUUGACCCGGCAAAACAAGUUACUUAAUCUACGCAAUUGUGAAAUGACGCAAAGAGGUUAGAAUGGCAUUGGACAAACUAUAAAAGAGCGCUUUCAAAAAAAAAAAAAAAAAAAAAAAAACUAUAAAAGAGCAAUUUGCAUGGAACAAAUUUAUCGUUAUUGUGUUGCUUCAGUUCAAUAAUGUAAUAAAAUAUCUAAAAUAAUUUACACUAACAUUAUAUAAUAAAAAUGAAACGUCACGUGAUGAUAAACACAUUCCAUAUAAAUCCUUACAGUAUUCUUGAUCAAGCAUCAUAUUUUCGUGAAGCUCAAAAGAUAAUAUACUAAAUUCAGAUGAUGCCAUUGCCAUCGUUUGUGUUAUCCUGACUAAUCCAUGAACGGGAUCGGUUCUCUUGGCAAUUUACAAAGAGCAAACAAAAAAGAAAAAAAAUAUAUGUGACAAUUAUUGUAGUCCUAUUAUAUUUGAAUGUGAAUAUGUAAAUUCUAAUGUAUUUAGGGGUAUCUUGAAAUAUUCUCUACGGUUAGAUAUUAUCCUAUUAAAGUUGUAAUCAUAUUGGGGUAAGGAAUUUACCUUCCUAACUACUAUAAAUAAAUGCACAAUGGGAUGAAAUAUAACACACCUCACAAUUACACAUCUCUCUCUUCUCUUUCUAUGCCACACUCUCUCUUUCUGGCCUCCAUAACUUUUCAGUAAAUUAUGCCUACAACACGUUGUUAGCACACUAUUGACGCUGCGCUACAUAAAGUUUGUUCUUCAAUCCUAAAAGUAUUACGUGUUAAUCAUUCUUUUUAUAAUUACUUUAUUAUUUUAUUGAAUUGAUCUACAUGCUAUUGAUUCAAUUUAAUUUUUCUUUGUUGUAUGUGAUAUAACGCACUAGAGAUGCAAUUCCGGCUUUUAGUGAAGGAUAUUCUACAAAUUCAAAGGCUUAGUUGUUUUCUGCCAAUCAGGUUCCUUUAAAAUAAUUUAAGAUAUUUGAAAUGACCGUAAAGCAUGAAAACAUUCCCCAUGAUGUAUGAACACCCUAUAUUUAUAUUUUCCUUUCAGUUAUACACACACACACACACACACACACACACACACACACACACACACACACACACACACACACACACACACACAUACUUGUUCAUGCAAUACGCAAUUAUGCUAUGUGGAAUUUGUGAGUCAAGGCAUCGAAAAUAAUUUAGAAGUAAUUAGGUUUUUAACCCUAGAAUUUGAAAAAACAAAUUUAAAAAAAAAAUUCUGGGAUUUUUGUGGCAUAGGUCGCAGCUCGCCGCCAGAGCAUCGCUGUUGGCUUGCAACUAACUGUGUCGAGCACGCCACCUGGAACGACAUUGUUUCGACAUUUGGACUACGCAGCAGCCCUUUAGGCUUUGCUGCGCCUACACAGACACCUGGCCUCAGCCUGGUAAGGGUUACCGUGGGCCUGCAGCCCCUCCCACCCAAACUAGCAACUUUUAAGUUGAUGGGCCUUAUCCCGAGUCCCUAGCCCAAAUCAGUAGCAAGCCCGUUGCUUGCUGGGUCCAACCUAUGCCCCUGGCCUGUUUGUUGGGCUAUGCUAACCCUCGGCCUAAACCUACCAACAGCCUUAAAGCUGCUCGGUUUCCACUGCACAUAGCCCAAAUUGAAGCCAGCUUGCAGCUGGGCUUCACGCACACCUAUCCCAGGCCAGCCCCUUGUUAGGCUUGUACUCACCGCGCUUUUUUGUGGCUUAGAACCAAUAGUCUAGCUGCUAGGCCUAUCCCAGACCUACGGCCCGUAGCCUGCAGCCAUGAUUGGGUUGUCUUACAGCUAACAUGUGGCCUACUAAGCCUUUUUAGGGCCUUACCAUGUACAAGGCACCCUAGCCCAUCGAGAUUGGGCUAUAAUUUUUCGAACCCAAUGUUAUUCUUUGGCAUUCCAGCUAAUAUUAACUUGAAUGUUAUCAUUAUUUUUGCUUCUACGAUUAAACCUGAAUAGUUAUGAUCUAUUGAAUUAAUUAAAGUGACUAGCAGUCCAUUAAUCGGACAAUUAAUCCAAAAUUAUUAGCCUGAAGUCCACUUUUUGGCAAUUAACGAUUCAAUAAAUUAUUUCUUUUCUUUGAACUGUUGACUCCAUUUCGUAGUCCUGAAGCACUUACACUUGAGUUCCUGAAGCAACCCAAAUCCACUACACUUAGUUGUAUAUUGUAUUUUGUAUUCUUAUGGGUACCUCAUUUUAUGAACCGGAAGUUCAUAAACCAAAUUGAACUUGUAGUUUCAAAUUUAGUGUCUUUGAAACCCGAAGUUUUCAUAAAACAAGUACACACAUGAAUUGCUGAGGGUUGAGUGUGCUUGCAGUGCAGCCUCCAGCAUUGCAGGUUUGGUCGCUUGACUUGCCUUACACGUGCGUAAACUACAUGCGCCUGACACAAAAAAAAAAAAAAAUAUGGCUAACACCAGUUCCACUUAGGCGCUGAGUUGGGCUAUUCUUGCCUGAUUGAACAGUCGGGUUCUACUUCCUUCCACUGUAGCUCGACUCAUUUGGGUGGGGUGGAAAGGAUUUUAGGGGUUUUGAGGGAUUUAGUGACUCAUCUGCUUGAGCAAUUGAGAAAAGUGGACUUGCUUUUAUUGCCAUUGUUGUUUUGUGAGUCUCACACACAUAAACGAUUAGAAUCAGUUUCAAAAUUAAUCUAAAUAAUCCUAUGGAAAUUGAUCAUUUCAAUGAUCCAAACAGAAAAGGUUAAUAAUUUCUGGACAUCGAAUAAUACUAUAUUUAUGUCAAUAUCCGCUCAAACUAAUCACUCUCUCUGAAUCUUUUGUUGAGGAUCGUGGGGAUCCGUGAAUCGUGUCUGUUUAUCGUACAUCGUGUGGUCAUUUUUUUUCAAGUACUGUUUAUGUUUAUUUUUAAAUAAAAAUAUUUAAAAUGAUUUCUGACCGCAUGAUGUACGAUGAAUGGACACAAUUCACAGAUCCCCAGGAUCCUCGCAAAGAGGAUCCAACGAGGAUUCGGACUCGCAUACUCCAUGAAGUAAGCAGAUAAAUGGUAUUAUUUAAUUGGCUAGGGUUUGACAAACGACAGGGAAUCACCAUCACAUCUUACCCAAUUUUUUGAACAUGUUGACAACAGAUUGGAUGCAGCUCUUGGUGACGAAAACAAAUUGCAAUUCCACCUCAUAGUUGGACCGCUGUCAUUUUGUUUGGAAGAAAAGGGAAAGGGAUCCUCUUUGGAUCCUUUCCUCCUAAUCCACUAAGUCCGGGGAUUUGAACCAUUAAAAUUUGAUCUAAUGGGUACAAACCAGAGGCAGAUCCAUUAAGGGAUCGAGGUGGUCCCAGGACCACCCGCAAGCUCAGAUAAAAGCCUAUUGAAACCACUGAGGACCACCUAAGUAUGGACUGUGGUGGUGGAGAACAGCAGCCAUGGCUGCCGAUGCACUACUCAUUCUAUUGCAGAAGGAGAAAGAAGAGGACUUAUGUUUUAAAAUAACUUGGCCAAACGCACUGUUUUGAGCCAAGCCAAUAAAAAAAGUUUUAAAAGCACUGCCAACUGCUCUUCUCAUUGUGAUUGGACAUCCCUUAGACUCCACGUGAUGGGUUUUUAAUCAAUUCCCAAGUAAAAAACAAUUUAGAGAUUUUAAUAAAAAGGAGAGAGUAAAUUAAGUGGGUCCCAAUCUCACUCAAGUAAACAUUUCGUUUUACCUUUGGUGUUUUGCCUUUUGCUAUGCACCUUUGCCAUUUGGUUGCUGUUUCUAAAGAUAUUUUAAUUAUAUUCGUUUAUUGUAAUUCGUGCGGUUAGAAAUUAUUGUAAUUUUUUUAUUUAAAAUUGAAUAUAAACAAUACCUGACAAAAAUAUCCUCAUUCGCCAGCAAAGAUACUUUGGGAUUCCUCAACUCUUCUAGCCAGCAAAAAACCUUUGAACUUACCCUAUUCUCUAUCCCUUGACAUUAGGGCUUAGCCUUUAGGUUUGCAAACGUCUGCCAUUCUUCUUUUGAUCCCAAAACCCUAAUUAGGGUUUAGUUAUGCAAGCUUUUCAUGGGGACGUUGGUUUAUUUAUUAGUGCAUGUUGUAAGGACGUGUCACUUAAGUGUUUAACACAAUGUUUAUUUAUGUUUUAAUCGUAAAAGUUUUGAUAGUCUUGCAUUCACGAUAAGAGUUAUACAUAUUUAGUUGUACUCAUUUUUAUUUUGGUAGACAUAUAAAUAGUAAUGACUUUGUCGUUUAUUUCUUUCAGUAUUAUUUUGGUUUUAUUUUAUUUAAUAUUUUUGCUAUAAAAUUAGGACCACCCGAUGCUAAAAUUCUGAAUCCGCCACUGCUACAAACAGGGCCCACUUUAAAAGUUAUAAUAACUUCAGUCGUUGGAUCAAAUUUCAAUAGUCCGAAAUCCCGGACUUAAUGGAUUAGAAUGGAAGCAAUCCGGAAAUGACCCAUUUCUGAAGAAAAGUAAUCUUUCCAGAACCAAAAGAGGUACAAAGGUCUCCCCUCUUGAAAAAAACUUCUUCACCAACCAGUAACAAAACUUCUUCACCAACCACGCAAAAGUAUUAAAAAUUUAAGAGAGAUAAGUUGUGCAAGGUGUUUAAUUAAAAUAUUUGUUCACUAAUUUAGAUUUUCAUUGAUUAGUUUUCGCUUUCCACAGUACAAUUGACUAAAGUAGGAUGUAUUAAGAUAUAACUAGUCUUCAUGCACGUGCUCAUGCUAAAGGUAUUUUUGGAAUCACAGCAUGCUACGCGUGACUGACACGUGUUAAAUGUAUUUAUAUGUGUAAAUUGACAAAAGGAAAGUCAAAUAUUUGAAGUAAAUGAAUAAUAUUAGAUCAUGCUAGAAGAAACCCUUCAUAAACCAAUUAAAGCAGCUGAAUUCACAUAAUAAAAUCGAUCUCCAUAGAAUUUACAUUAAGAAUAGAGAAAAUAAUAUCGAAUGAACAACUGCUUGAAUUACAUUAUUGCUAGACCAUUGUGAGGCUAAGCCCACCCCCUCCCCCUUAGUGUAGAGCGCGUGCAAAAAACAUUUUUUUGAAUCAUGGCAUGCUACGCACGACUUACACGUUUUAAAUGUAUUUAUAUGCGUAAAUUGAUAAAAGAAAAGUCAAAUAUUUGAAGUAAAUGAAUAAUCUUACAUCACGCUAGAAGAAACCUCUCAUAAACUAAUUGGAGCAACUGAAUCCACAUAAUAAAAUCGAUCUCUACAGAAUUUAUAUUAAGAAUAGAGAAUAUAAUAUUUAAUAAACAACUUAUUAAAUCACACUAUUGCUAGCCCAUUGUAAGGCUAAGCACACAUCCUCCCCCUUAGUGUAGAUAAUAUCGUUUGUUAAAAAAAAAACAUUCAUUUGACAACUAAGUUAAUGUUAAUAAACAACUGAUUGAAUCACACUAUUGCUAGCUCAUUAUGAGGCUAAACCCACUCCCUUCCCCUUUAGUAUACAUAAUAUUGUUUGUUAAAAAAAAAACAAUCAUUUGACAAUUAAUUUAAUCACAUUAUUAUCCGUGUGGGAAGUACCUUUUUUAUAACUGGCAUUACACGACUCUUAAGAUGUUUUGAACGUAUUUAAAAAUAGAGAAAAUAAUAUUUUCUGAAAUUGGAUUGAAUCAUAUUAUUGCUAGCCUAUUUAAAAAAAUAAAAAAUAAAAUAUGUACAAAUUUAUCACCGGUGCUACGCGCCUCUUAAGAUGUUUUGAACACAACAUUCAUGAUUUUCCUUAUUUUUUAUUAUAUUUUUCUUUCAUCUUCACUUGGGCACCAUCAACUUUCACUCAUCCUUCCAUUUUUUUAUUCUUUUCUCUCUUCCCAUUUAUAUUUAGAGUAAACUGUCGAUUUGCCCCCUAAACUUUCACUGAACUUUCGAUUUCCCCCCUGAACUUUUCGAUUGGAAAAUUUCCCCCCUGAACUAAUUUUUUUAGCCAAUUUGCCCCCUACCGUUAGUUUUUCAAACAUUCCAUCCAAAUUUCUGUUAAGUGAGACCAUGUGCACAACAUAUGAGGGUAGUUAAGUCAUUUCACUCUUAAAAAUGAUUAAAAAACUGAAAAUUUCCCUCUAAUUCAUAUCCUCAAUUUUAUUUUUCACUCAUUCCUAUGUAUAAAAAAUGACAUACGGUGUUAUUGUCUUCAUGGCAUGAACAUUCUAGUAAUUUUACAUUAUUAAAAAAAAUGAUUAAACAAAAACAGAUCGAAGAAAAGAAAAAAAAAAAUACAAAAACCCCAGCCACCACCACUUCCUUUCCGCACCCCCAUCACCCCACCCUACGACAUCCUCCCCCUACCCUCAUCUCCCUCAACCGUAACCCCCACUCCCUGAUUUGGCCCCACCCUCUGCUACCCCAAUGACCCAACCCUCUUCCUGCAUCACAAAUCUCUCUCUCUCUCUCUCUCUCUCUCUCUCUCUCUCUCUUCUCUCUCUCUCUCUCUUCCCACUUUCUUCGUUCCUUGCAUUGUUCGUAGAAUAACAAAUAGAGAGGGGAAGGAGAGUCUCUGUGUGUGGGAAGGGGGAGGACCGGAUAUGGUGGUUGAUGGGUCUCAGGGGUGGGAGGAGGUGGUAAUUGUGGGUACAAGGAGAUCGGCGGUAGAGGUAAAAAAUAGAGGGAAUUUUUUUUUUAAAUUUAUUUUCAGUUUUUUAAUCAUUUUUAAGAGUAAAAUGACUUAACUACUCUCAUAUAUUGUGCACAUGGUCUCACUUAACAGAAAUUUGGAUGGAAUAUUUGAAAAACUAACGGUAAGGGGCAAAUUGGCUAAAAAAAUUAGUUCAGGGGGGAAAUUUUCCAAUCGAAAAGUUCAGGGGGGAAAUCGAAAGUUCGGUGAAAGUUUAGGGGGCAAAUCGACAGUUUACUCUUAUAUUUAUAUUUUAUUUUAUAAUGAUCAAAUUUCCCAUGUAUUAUUUGAUAUAUUAUAUUGGGUUGCUUUUGGAUUUUUUUGGUUGUGAGUCAAUUUUGUCCUAAUAUUUUUGUCGAAGUCAUGACACCAAAUCGGCAAUAUUCAUUGCCCUAUUCGCUAUAUAUAUAUAUAUAUAUAUAUAUAUAUAUAUAUAUAAUAGAUAGAUGUUGAACGUUCCACUAAAUACAUUAUCAUCACUACUACAAGAUAUAUAUAAUAGAUAGAUGUUGAAUGUUCCACUAAAUACAUUAUCAUAUCAUCACUACUAUAAGAUAUAUUUGUUGUCUUGACAUGAACGGUGGAGAUUGCAUCAAGGGGUUUUAAAUUAAACUAUUUGAGUAACGUGCAACAUUUUUUCUCCCAGACAAUACUGUUAGAGCGAGGCUCACAAUAGCUUCAUUCAUUUGCCCACAAGACGAUGCUCUGAUACGCCCGCAAAAACUCUCACAGAGGAUAGGUCUUUAUUUUUUCUUUAUGGCAGCACAGACACAUGCUCUGUCCGUCAUACACCAGGUUUUUUCAUGUUUUACACCCCAUUGCAAGCUUAUGAAUCCAAAUUUAUAACAUACAACGAACAUAAAAUCACUUUUUUAUUACAUUUUUUUGUUUGUUAUAAACCUAGUUAUGGUGAAAAACGUGCGACCACCAUAUCAAAAUAAAAGCAAUACGAAUGCAGACGGCAGCUUGUAUACCACUGCCAAAGUUAUACUCAAAUCUUCUUAAGAAACUCAAUGACAUAGGUGUUGAAAGCGGAGCAGAUGACGCGGAAGCCUUUGAAUCCAGAUCCCUUAGCCAAGGCCUCAAACUCCUUCUCCGUCCGCUCUUUUCCUCCGGGGUUGUAACCUUACAUGAUCACGUCGAGAUUGACAACUCCCUUGGUGGCCAGGCUGCUGUCUGCAGCUACUGGAAGAAUGCCUUCAGCAAGAAUCUCCUUCCCAUUGUCAGGGAGUGCGGUAUAACAGUUCUUCAAAAAUUUCAAGCAAUGAUCGUCACUCUAGUCGUGACAUAUCGACUGUAAGAUUGCAUACAUGAUUUGUGACUAGUUCCAAAUUAUUAUGCAACUAAGCUCUUAUAAGAAAUUGAUAUAGCACUACAAAGUAGUCAUCAACUCUCUUUUUGAUAAAUAAUAACAAACCUUCAUGAAAAUUGC